AACAAAGAUGGUGGAGCAUAUUUAUUAACUCAAUUAUGCAAACUAUUAAUUAAUAAUAGAAACUAUUAAUGAGAAAAGAUACAUAGGAAUCAGAAUCCACCAAAUAUUAACAUAAUAAAUAAUUUCUUAUUUUCCAAAUUAAUUCCCAAAUUAUUUUUCCUUCUCUUUAAAAAUAAUAAUUCAUAUAAUUAAUAUGGAUAAGCAUAAGUUAUGAAAAAUUUACAUAUUACCUAUAACUAAUCAAAACCUCGCAAUUAAUAUAAAAAUCAUAUGUAAUUUGUGUGAAAAAAAUAUGAAGGCGAAAAUAAUUAGGCAUUAAUUUCAUAACGGAAAGAAAAUAUUAUUAUGAAAUACCUAAUUUCAUCAUCAUCAUCCUACGUAUUAGAAAUUUAGCUAGCAAUGGAAUUAAAAACAAAAAUAAAAAAUAUUAAUACUACUAUUUGUAUGAAAUAAGAAUAAUAAUUAAAAAGAGAAUUUCUAUUAUAUCAAUAAAAGAAAGUUACAAAUACUCCUUGACAUUAGUACCACACAAGAUUGGAAUAAGAAAAAAGAUAAAAACUCUAAAUAUCUUACUCCCUUCUACACCAGCGAUAACAAGUGGUGCCGUUUCUAUCUAAAACAAGAUGACUAUUUAUAGGGAAAAUAAAUUUUUGCCCUAAUUUAGGUUCCUUAAAUUUGGACACUUUUGUUUAUUUUUUCCCUCUUUCUUUUUUGGCUUCAAUCUCUAUAUGGUAAUCUUCUAAGAGUACUUUUCUAUAUCUAAAAGUUGGAUAGAAAUCCUUUAUUUGUUCCCCAAGAAAAAAUAAAUUUUAUUUCCUACAAAACAAAAUAAAAUAUAUAAGUAAAAUAAAAUAAGCAUAUAAAAUAAUAAAUAUGAGAAUAUUAAAAUGGAUAAAAAAAUAUGUAUCAAAUAGUUCAAUUGAACCCCAUUUCUCGUUCUAUGGUUUGAAGCUUUAAUCUUCUAUCCGCACAACUAAAGUACGGAAGGUUUGAUUUUUUAAGAAGGAGAUAAAUUUGGUAUAUUAUAAGUGGAUCUAUCGUUCAGGGCCGACCCUGAGUUUUGAAGGGCCUAAAGCAGACAACAAAAAAAUGGGCCUUUUGCGAAUUGUUAUUAAGACAGGCAUAAAAAAAAGAAAGAACUUUUCCUGAACAAAAGAGCAUCAAUACGAAAGAAUAUCAAAUAUAAUAACCGACUAUUUCAAUAUUUUCAAAGCAUCAUUUAGAUAUCACAUUAUUACUAAGUCAAAAAAGUAAUUACCAAAUAGGGCCUCCUUUAUUAAGAGUCUAACAUUACUCUCAACCAAUUAAAAAAAUCCAAAAAACUGAAUCUGAUGAUGAACCCCCAGGUAUAUAAUAAUUAAAUUAUUUUGUAUAAAUUAUAUGCUUUAAAUAUAUAGAAUAUUACAAUAAUCAGUAUAUGUAGAAUAUUACAGAUUGAUUAUUUGCUUUAAUAUUUAAGUAUUCUAUUUAAGUAAUAAAAAGAAGAGAAUAUUUAAGGGGGCCCUAAAAAAUUUUGGGCUUAAAGCCCGGGCACCUUGAGCUUUAGCCCAGGGCCGAUACUGCUAUUGUCGGCAAAAUUAAAUUGCGGACAAAAGUAUUUUUUUUACUGUUAGAUCAAAAAUUAGAUGAUUUAAAUUUAUUGUAAGAAUAACUCUAUUUUUACAAUUGUCUUAAAGAUCUUAGCGGGGUUUAUAGACUAUAGAUCUACUGCAUCUGCUAAAGGUGCUACAACAUUAUUGAAUAACAUAUUUUACUCUUAGCAUUCUCUUAGUUUCUACUUUUAUAUAGUUGUGGUGCGAUUUUAUUCAGAUUAGUAUGGUUGUUGUAGUUACAAUGUGUACUGUCGGAAGUUUAUGAUACCUUACAUACCUCUCAGAUUUUGCAUAAAAAAAGGGUUAAGUUCAGAUGACCACCUGAGGUUUGAGCGGUUUUCCACUUAACCACCUGUAGUCAGUAAAGCUACAUUUAAACUCCCGACUUUUUGAGUUAAAGUGAAAACGUUACUUUUUCCAUCCAAAUUAACGGUGCGUGCAUGUCAGACGCCAAAAACACGUGAAAAGAGGUGUAACAGUAAAAAAAACUAGAAAAUGUCUAAAAUACCCUUCUUCUUCCUCAAACCACAAUCGUGCGUUCUCUCUCUCAUUUCUCUUGCAUUUGAAGCAAAAGAUUCAUAGAGAUUUCUUGAAAGAAAAUGGAGAUUCAGUCCGUGCGGUAGUUAUAAACACUAAUAUUGGGGCUGAUUCGGCUUGGAUCCAAGCCCUAACUACCAUGAAUCCACUACGUUUGGCUCUUCGGUUCCACUAUCGAACGGGAAUGGCAAGAGCUACGAUAUUGGAGAAGAUACUGAUGGAAUUUUCAGUUCCGAUGGACCGGUGCUUCCACCUCCUGGAGAAAUGCAAGAGGAAGGAUUUGCACUUCGUCUUCUUCGUUCCCUUCUUUCUCUCUCUAAAACCUCAAAUUCCGAUGGACCAGUGCUUCCACCUCCCCUUCUUUCUCUCUCUAAAACCCCAAAUUCCUCCCGAUCCCCUCUCUUCAUCUUCUCCGUUUCACACUUCAACAUACAUAUACUCCUCUCGGGCCAACUCACAUCUCAGGAGGAUUUGUGCAUUGGUAAGGCUCUUUUCUUCUUCUGUUUGCCGAAUUGAUUCUUUACAAUCUUUUAAUUCUCUUUAAAUCUGUUUUUAUUGAUUUUUGUAUUUGUCUUUUGAAAUGUUAGAGAUUAUUCAGCUCAUUGUGUUGAUUGAGACUUUAAAUAUUGUGGGUGUUUCUGGUUUUAUUAUAUAAUUUACUCGGUGAUUUUAUUAUAUAAUUGCAAACAUGAUGAUGAUGUUGUUGCUGAUUUUGAUGUUAGUGUCAAUGGUGAUGUUGAUUAGAUGGAUGAAAAAGAAAAAUAUUUGUAGUAUAUAUGCUUUAUAACUUCAAUACAGAGUUUUGAUAGAAUUGCUUAGUUUUUAGUAAUCUUGUGAAUCCCCAUUUUGGGUAUUCUCGAAUCAUUCAUUUUUUAUGACAUGAUUUGGUUCUUGGGGAUUUGAAUGAUUGUGAGAUUUAUUUGAUGAAAACAUUUGUCCUUUUUUUUGUGUUAUGCUUUGGACAAUAUUAGGAAAUAUUAUCAAAAUGUUUCUCUGACUUUCUAUUUGUGCAAAAUUUACAUAAUAAAUGGUUCUGUAAACUUCCUUUUGUAGUGGGUUCUCUUUGUUUUGUUAUUGCUAUUUCUGUUCAGAGGAACCCAUUUCAUGCAGUUACUGGAAUAUACAUUGUUUCGCUGCAUUUGAGUUGAUUAAGAUGUUUACUCUGUUUUUGGUUCACUUUGAGAGUGCUAAAUUUGAGAUGCUCAAGAACAGAAUUUUAUAAUGUAGACAUUGAUGAUGUUAAGGGGGUGAUUUUGAUAUCCCCAUUUGCCUUUUGGGAAUUUAUAUGAGCUCUUGUUUUUUGUUUGUUAGAAAACAGAGAGAGAGAGAUCAAGAGAUGAACAAGUAGAGAGAGAGAUGUGUUUCCAGCAUCUGUCGUUUAUAUAGGAGGGUAAUUAAGUCUUUAUCCAACUUAAGUAACAUAGUUAUGACAGAAAGCACAUUUUCAUUUUAACUCAAAAAAGUCGGGAGUUUAAAUGUAACUUUACUGACUACAAGUGGUUAAGUGGGAAACCGCUCAAACCCCAGGUGAUCAUCUGAACUUAACCCUAAAAAAAAGAAAUAAUAUUUUUUAUUUUAUUUUUGACUAGAUAAUAUUAGGGAUUCCAAUUUUCUUUUUUACCUCAAAUGAUAUGGCAUCAGUUGAGUAUAUUUAUUAUUAUUGAAUAUGCCAUAAAAUGACAGUUAUCUUAAUUCAAUAUUACAUCAUUUGAGAUACAUUUAAUAUUAAAAAAAUAAAAUUUAAGACCCCUAACAUUGAACUCAAAUCCAAUAAAAAAUGCAAUAAUUUAGCAUACAAUACCAGUACGAAAUACCACAAAUAAUUCCCUGUCACUCCAUGAUCAUAAUAAUGUAAUAAAGUACAAUAGAUAUAACCUCAAUCAUGUGUGACAUAUAUAUAGCAUCAAAACUUGUAUUCAGAAAUCUAUACGAGUAGUGUUGGAUAUCUAGACACAAGUUGAAAAUUGUACUAUAAAACUCGUCAAUGUAUAAUGAAUUAUACAUUUUAACUUAUCAAUAUUUUAUCUAAAUAAAUUAGACAAUUUGUGUCCACUUAUCAUUUUAUUUUUCUUUUAGUGUGUGUGUGGAUAAAGUUGGCCACUUCUUUAGCCUCUAUUGAACAAAACAUUAAAAAAUUAACUUUUUUUUUAAGAAACAAAACAUGAAACAAAAAAGAAGAAACAAACAAUAAUAAUACUGAACCGUAAAAGUUCUUACAACAAAAUGUCUUAAAACAAACAAAACCAAUCCAAAAAAAGCAUGUAUUGAUCAAACAAACGAACAUGAAAAAAUGUAACUUUUUAUAAGAAACAAAACAUGAAACAAAAAAGAAGAAACAGACAACAAUAAUAAUACUGAACCGUAAAAGUUCUUACAACAAAUGUCUUAAAACAAACAAAACCAACCCAAAAAAAGCAUGUAUCUAAAACCAUCAAAAUAGCAUCGAAAAAAGAUUACAAUAAUAAAAUAAAAAUUCCUCUUAGUUCCAUGCACCUAGAAACACCCUGGUGGAGGAGGUUCAUUCAAAUCUGGUAGAGCAAUUUUAUUCAAAUCAGGAGUAGCAUUGGUUUUGGCCACAUCCUCUGAUAUAUCCUGCACCAAACCGUAUCGCACGCCAACUCCGUAAUACAGCAAGCAAGCCCCUUUCCCUGCAGCAUUAUCAUCCUCAGUUGCAGCAAUUUCCGGAGGUAUUUCUAGGUCAUCCUCAGGUGGUGCAGCAAUUUCCGGAGGCAUUUCUAGGUCAUCCUCAGGCACAGCAAUUGCUGGAGGAAUUUCUAGGGUUGCGGCCCGUUGAACAGGCGGCGUUAGUGAUGGAAAAUCGCAGGUGUGAUGGCCAUGAUAAGUUACUUCAACUAUGGAGGGAUUCUCUACUAGUCUUUGCACUUGCUUUGUUACACGACAUCCAAACAACUCCCUUUUGUUGCACCUAUAGUAUCCCCUAAAACAAAAGAAAUGCCCAAAAUACCACAAAAAUGACAAUCUCGUUGGUUAUAUAUUUUGGUUUUAAAAAAAGAUUAAACUCUCAACAAUUUAAUAUUCCUAAGCUUUUACCCAAUCUCAAUGGACCCGCUAGAACCCAACUAUUUAGGAUCCAAUUUUAAAAAUCUUAUAAAGUUAAGAUCGGGUAUGGAAAUGUCUCCCCUAUGCCAACUUAACCAGCCCCAACCUGAUUAUUUAUUAUAUUUAUUAAAAAUUCAAACUAUCAGUUAUAUGUCUAGAUUUUCAAUGUACUAGAGCAAUGUUAUAACUUAUAUAUUGGCCUACAUUUUGGAGCGAUGCUGAAUAUUUAUUUUGUUAUAUAUAUUGGAACAAUUUUUUUUUAAAUUACUUUAAUUAUAGGUUUCAAGGGAGGACUGGGGGCGGGUUAGGGCAAAUCGGAUUUGGGGACUUAUGUUAGCAACUAAACCAAAUUAAUUAUAGAUUGUUCAUGAAUUAAUUAAGUACAUGAAUAUAUAAUAUCUAAAUAUAUGAUAUAUGUAUGUACAUGAAUGUAUUUAAAAUGUCUUGGAAUAUGUAAUGGUUAGGUUCAUGUGCGUGAAUUUAGACAUGUAGUAAUUAUUAUGGUAGCUCUAGAAGUAUCAUAGGAGUUCUAUAAAUAGGUUGUACUUGAAUCAUUUGAAGUGAAAUGAAAGUAUUCUUAUGUUCUCUAAAAUUAUAUUCCACUUCCUUUAUAAUUUAUUAUCUUCCAUAAAUUUCCAACUUAACAUUCAUAUGCAUGACAGGUAUGAGAAAUGGUCUCUCGAACUAUACCUAUCCGCUAUUAGCUAGAUCUAAACUCGAGGGCUAAAUAUGAAAUAAAAGAUAUAUUCUUAAAUUUUACAUAUGAAACUCUUUUUGAAUAGAGGUUCUAGAUUUUUGUUUUUCAUAGAUGACCCUAAAUUGAUUGAUUGGUUAAUUAAUUGUAACGAGGAGAUAAUAAUAUAAUUAUUGUUGAUAAGGCUGUAAAAUGAGUAAACAGUUUGGCCUCAAUUUGUACUUGCUCGACUAAAAGUUCGAUUCGAACUUUACUCGAAAUAUAAAUGAUUCAAAUAUGAGCAAAUUUUAAAGUUCGAUGAAUUACUCGAACCUGCUCAAAUUGUUAUUUUCUAUUGAUACUCAGAUCAUAUUCGUUCGAAAAGUUCAAACUGUUCGGGCUCGAUUCGAGAUCGUGCUCGAUUCGGUAGCUAAACGAACCUCAAUCAAACCUUAUUUUAUACUUGAUAAAUUUUAUGAAUCAAAUUUGAGCAACUCAAUACUCAGUUUGACUCGAUUUAUUUACAUCCUUAAUUGUUGAUAAACUCAAGAAUAAUUGUAUGCGACUGUUUACACUGAAAUUAAUGUUGGAUUUGUGGGAUUCGAAUUCAUUGGAUUAUCCGAUUAAAAUUGGGAGAUUUUUCCCCCUUAAAUUUGGUAUUAUGGUUUUACCGUGUGGGCAUCUCUUUAAUUGGGCUCCAGUAUUAACCGUGCAUGCAUGUGCGGGUGAAUUCAUAAAGUUAUUAGGAAUUGGGUUUUCAAUUAAGCAGGAGCUUAAUAUUUGCCGAAUCCAACCAAGAGUAUAUAUGUUAAUAUAUAUGAUUUCUAAGCCAACUAAGAACCUUGGAGUUUAUUUUUAGUACUAUUAUUUUUUGUAGUUGUUAUUUAUUUGGUGGAAUUGCAUUUUAUCUGGCAUGAAUUGUUAUUUAAUUUAUCAGAAAUGGUUCUAGUUAGAGAAAUUUUCCUAACAAGUGGUAUCAAGAGUAAGGUUAUUUGUGCGGUUGUUUUUUGAUAAAUUAAAUGGAGCAAUCAAGCGACGCCAUGAUUAAAUUGACCUCAUCUAAUUUUUCGAUAUGAACGCCUAGAAUGGAAGGCAUCAUUUACUAUAAAGAUUUGUAUGAACCAAUAUUGGAGCUUAAGGGAGUUAAGCCGACGGAUAAAACUGAGGUAGAUUGGAAAAAGAUUAACAAGAAGAUGAUCGGUCACAUCCGACAAUGAAUUGAUUAGAGUUUGUUCCACUAUGUUUCGUAAGAAACGGAUGUCAAUACUCUUUGGACUACAUUAGAGUCCAUGUAUGGGAAGAAGAAUGCAUGCGCAGAAUAAGACCUUUGUGAUCUGAAAGAUUGUGAACCUGAAAUACAAAGAUGGUAGCAGUGUAUCCUGUAAGACCCCAACUUUUUGAAUAAAGAUGAAUUUUCUAUAAUUAUCAUUUUUGAAUAUUAUGAUAUAAUAUUAUAGUUGUGGGUAAUAUUUANNNNNNNNNNNNNNNNNNNNNNNNNNNNNNNNNNNNNNNNNNNNNNNNNNNNNNNNNNNNNNNNNNNNNNNNNNNNNNNNNNNNNNNNNNNNNNNNNNNNNNNNNNNNNNNNNNNNNNNNNNNNNNNNNNNNNNNNNNNNNNNNNNNNNNNNNNNNNNNNNNNNNNNNNNNNNNNNNNNNNNNNNNNNNNNNNNNNNNNNNNNNNNNNNNNNNNNNNNNNNNNNNNNNNNNNNNNNNNNNNNNNNNNNNNNNNNNNNNNNNNNNNNNNNNNNNNNNNNNNNNNNNNNNNNNNNNNNNNNNNNNNNNNNNNNNNNNNNNNNNNNNNNNNNNNNNNNNNNNNNNNNNNNNNNNNNNNNNNNNNNNNNNNNNNNNNNNNNNNNNNNNNNNNNNNNNNNNNNNNNNNNNNNNNNNNNNNNNNNNNNNNNNNNNNNNNNNNNNNNNNNNNNNNNNNNNNNNNNNNNNNNNNNNNNNNNNNNNNNNNNNNNNNNNNNNNNNNNNNNNNNNNNNNNNNNNNNNNNNNNNNNNNNNNNNNNNNNNNNNNNNNNNNNNNNNNNNNNNNNNNNNNNNNNNNNNNNNNNNNNNNNNNNNNNNNNNNNNNNNNNNNNNNNNNNNNNNNNNNNNNNNNNNNNNNNNNNNNNNNNNNNNNNNNNNNNNNNNNNNNNNNNNNNNNNNNNNNNNNNNNNNNNNNNNNNNNNNNNNNNNNNNNNNNNNNNNNNNNNNNNNNNNNNNNNNNNNNNNNNNNNNNNNNNNNNNNNNNNNNNNNNNNNNNNNNNNNNNNNNNNNNNNNNNNNNNNNNNNNNNNNNNNNNNNNNNNNNNNNNNNNNNNNNNNNNNNNNNNNNNNNNNNNNNNNNNNNNNNNNNNNNNNNNNNNNNNNNNNNNNNNNNNNNNNNNNNNNNNNNNNNNNNNNNNNNNNNNNNNNNNNNNNNNNNNNNNNNNNNNNNNNNNNNNNNNNNNNNNNNNNNNNNNNNNNNNNNNNNNNNNNNNNNNNNNNNNNNNNNNNNNNNNNNNNNNNNNNNNNNNNNNNNNNNNNNNNNNNNNNNNNNNNNNNNNNNNNNNNNNNNNNNNNNNNNNNNNNNNNNNNNNNNNNNNNNNNNNNNNNNNNNNNNNNNNNNNNNNNNNNNNNNNNNNNNNNNNNNNNNNNNNNNNNNNNNNNNNNNNNNNNNNNNNNNNNNNNNNNNNNNNNNNNNNNNNNNNNNNNNNNNNNNNNNNNNNNNNNNNNNNNNNNNNNNNNNNNNNNNNNNNNNNNNNNNNNNNNNNNNNNNNNNNNNNNNNNNNNNNNNNNNNNNNNNNNNNNNNNNNNNNNNNNNNNNNNNNNNNNNNNNNNNNNNNNNNNNNNNNNNNNNNNNNNNNNNNNNNNNNNNNNNNNNNNNNNNNNNNNNNNNNNNNNNNNNNNNNNNNNNNNNNNNNNNNNNNNNNNNNNNNNNNNNNNNNNNNNNNNNNNNNNNNNNNNNNNNNNNNNNNNNNNNNNNNNNNNNNNNNNNNNNNNNNNNNNNNNNNNNNNNNNNNNNNNNNNNNNNNNNNNNNNNNNNNNNNNNNNNNNNNNNNNNNNNNNNNNNNNNNNNNNNNNNNNNNNNNNNNNNNNNNNNNNNNNNNNNNNNNNNNNNNNNNNNNNNNNNNNNNNNNNNNNNNNNNNNNNNNNNNNNNNNNNNNNNNNNNNNNNNNNNNNNNNNNNNNNNNNNNNNNNNNNNNNNNNNNNNNNNNNNNNNNNNNNNNNNNNNNNNNNNNNNNNNNNNNNNNNNNNNNNNNNNNNNNNNNNNNNNNNNNNNNNNNNNNNNNNNNNNNNNNNNNNNNNNNNNNNNNNNNNNNNNNNNNNNNNNNNNNNNNNNNNNNNNNNNNNNNNNNNNNNNNNNNNNNNNNNNNNNNNNNNNNNNNNNNNNNNNNNNNNNNNNNNNNNNNNNNNNNNNNNNNNNNNNNNNNNNNNNNNNNNNNNNNNNNNNNNNNNNNNNNNNNNNNNNNNNNNNNNNNNNNNNNNNNNNNNNNNNNNNNNNNNNNNNNNNNNNNNNNNNNNNNNNNNNNNNNNNNNNNNNNNNNNNNNNNNNNNNNNNNNNNNNNNNNNNNNNNNNNNNNNNNNNNNNNNNNNNNNNNNNNNNNNNNNNNNNNNNNNNNNNNNNNNNNNNNAGCCUAUAGACUCGCUUUACCGCCAAGUAUGUCUCGUGUUCAUAACAUUUUUCACAUAUCCAUGUUACGUAAAUAUGUGGAAGACCCGAACCAGAUUAUUGAGUUAGAACCAGACGAAAUAACGGAAGAUUUAACGUAUGAAAAGGUUUCUGUUCAAAUCUUGGAUAAGAAGGAACAUAUACUACGCUCCAAGGUUAUACCUCAAGUCAAAGUUUUGUGGAGAAACCACGAUGUUGAGGAAAUGACCUGGGAGUUAGAAUCUGAAAUGAAGUCAAGGUAUCCUUACCUCUUCGAUAUACCAGGUACGUACCCUAAUUUCGAGGGCGAAAUUUCUUAAGAAGGGGAGGUUGGAAGACCCCAACUUUUUGAAUAAAGAUGAAUUUUCUAUAAUUAUCAUUUUUGAAUAUUAUGAUAUAAUGUUAUAGUUGUGGGUAAUAUUUAUAAAUUUUACAAAGUAUGCAAGUUGUCAUAUUAUAUUCGAUUGGUCAGGGAAUAUUCUUUUUGUCAGGAAAUAUCCGUACGACGGUACAAUCAUUGGUGGACCCCACAACGGAAUUAUUGUCGGAUUAAGAAAACGACAAAAAUAUUUUAUUGAAAAUAACGACGGCAGUUUUACCGUUGAUACUGUUGAACUACUCGGUAGUAAAAGUACAGUAAUACGUGUGGUUGCAUAGUAGCACACGGUAUUGAUUAUUAAUGCUUAUGUGAGAAGUCACUCAGUUUUGUUCAAUUAUUGCUACAUUAGUUGCUGCAUAGUAUCUCACAUUAUUUGAUUCAAUUAUUGUUGAUUUAUAAGUUUUGUUUUAUUAGUAUUAUUAACGUAAUAAAACAGAAACAUCUUUUUAUAUAAAACAGAAUACUUUAUUAAAGUUAUUCUAUAAAUAGAAUAUAUUAUAUUUUAUUAUGCAUAGUGUUUGCAUAGUGCCCGCAUAGUGUUUGCAUAGUAAAAAUCUUUUUAUAUAAAUAGAAUAUAUUAUAUUUUAUUUAAAAGAUUUUUCUUUAAAUAUGGACCGUCAGAUUAAAGUAAAUCAAUCUGGACCGUUCAUGGAUUAGUUACUAUGCAUUCCAUUUUCCUAUAAAUAGAAGCUCAUUCCUUCAUUAUUUUCUUACGAAUUCACUGAACUCUAGAGAGAGAAACUAUAGAGAGAGACUAUAGAGAGAUAGAAGAAAAGUUUUCUGCUACUUCACUACUCUUAUAUCAAGUAUUAUUUUACGGUAAGGGAUAUUAUUCUUUUGUAUUCAAGAAGAGAACUUCUGUUAUUCCAUUUCUUUAUUGUUCUGUUGGAAUAACCUGUAUACGCGGGCUACCCUAUACUUGGUGACAUUCUUCUAUUAUUCUGUCUUUAUUAUUCUGUCGGAAUAUCCUGUCUGUGCUAUACGCCGGACCUGGUUCCAUUUUUAUUAUUCCGUCUUUAUUAUUCUGUCGGAAUAUCCUGUCUGUGCUAUACGCCGGACCUGGUUCCAUCAUUUAUUAUUCCGCAUUUAUUAUUCUGUUGGAACAUCCUGUCGGUGUGAAUUUCACCUGACCUGGUUCCGUUAUUAUUAUUCUGUUGGAAUAACCGUCUAUGCGAAGUACCGCAUGCAUGGUGAUAUCUUUUGUUAUUCCAUUCGGUAUUAUACUCAGUUGAUUAAAAUUUUGACUUCUAUACUCCAUGAAAUUAGUGGAAUAUCCUUGAUAUUUGCGCUUCAUCCAGUAUCUUUUCGUGGAAAUAUUCUUCUGAGCAUUCUUGAAUUUUACUCUACAAAGCAGUAUCAUGUUGACAAUUUGGACGUUAUUGGUUCCUGGACAAAUUAAUUCUUGAACUUGUUUAAUUGAAUUCUUAUAUCAUUGUCAUCAUCCUCAUGUUUAUGUUAUGUUGAAAGUCAUCUGUGGCCUGUAGUGCAUAGAUGGACUUGGUAUGAUUAUGACCAGGGAUUAUUCGGUAUAAUCAUGACCGUAAUGUUACAAAUGAUGUGAAAAUUAAAAGUCCUCAUUGGCCCGUAGUGCAUUGAUGGACAGUUUUUGGUAUGAUUAUGGCUAUGGAUUCUCUUCGGCCAAGGGAGCAAAGAUGAAUUGUUUUAUGGCAUGAUCAGGACCGUUGAUGAAAACACGAUUAUCUUUGGCCCGUAGUGCAUGGAUAAUUCGUGGUCGUGAUACUAAAGAAUAUCCUUGGCCUGUAGUGCAGGGAUGAUUUAAUGAUGUGGAUUAUUUAUUGAGCUGAGUCUCAGCGAUAAAAGUGAUGAAAAACUUUUUAAAUCAUAAAAGAUAGUAGAUUCUAUUCUCUACUUGACUCUUUUAAUGGAUUGCUUGUUCCGCUGCAGUUAAACUUGAUGUCUAUUGUAUUUUAUCAGUUUAACAUUGUUGGAGGCUAAUGAUAAUUUAUUCUGCAUUAUCUUAGUCAUAAUAUUUCUUACUGGGCUAGUUGAGCUCACCCUUUCUUUCACUGUUCUCUUCAGGAAAUGAGAAUAUAGCUGGGACGAGUCGGGGAACGGAGUGAUGGUCCAGAGGAUAGCAUUAGUAGUCCUCACUAUUCUGUGAAAUAGUGUGAUAAUAAUUGUAAUGAGGACUCCUUUUGAGUUUGUAUAAUCUCUAGUAGAUAAUAUUUGUAUUCAAACUCACAGUUUAUGUUUUGUCGUAUUGUACACGACAGUUGUAUUAGUAAGUUGUAUUUGAAUUCUGUACCAUGUAUCUGGCGACCCAAGAUGGGUGAUGUAUACCUAAUUUUGGGGGCGUCACAGUUGGUAUCAAAGCUUAGGGAUAUGAUCCCUGGCUAAGAUGUGAGACUAGAACUAGGAGGGGAGAGACGGGGAAUUCCUUCGCUAGUAUGACCUACCUAAGUUUAUUUGGUAUUUAAUUGGUCGGUCAGAGUAUAGGGAUAAUAUGUGAUAUGUUAAUUAACCCUUGUUUUGUGGCAGUAUUUGAAAAUGGCAUCCGAGAAUGUUGAGAACAUCAAUGGAGCACAGGAGACCGUUGAGUCUCCACAGAUCAAUAAUCAGGAUAAUGUGAAUCAGGAAGGCGACAAUCCUCAGGCAAAAAACAACACUGAUCAAAUUAUGAACGAUGGAAUGUUCCGAGGCUUCAUGCAAUUCAUGCAACAUCAGGCAAGAGCGGCUCCUGUCCAAAAUGCAGGUGGAAAUACGGGCACCGCCAAUCAGUUUAAGGAACUGGGACCACCGGAGUUCUUUGGAGAGCCAAAACCAAUUAAGGCAGAGACGUGGAUUAAACAGAUCAACAAGAUAUUUGAUGUCUUGGGAUGCUCCGAGGAGCAAAAGGUUCCCUUUGCCACCUUCACGUUGCGUGCAGAGGCAGAUUACUGGUGGGAAUCUAUAAAACGUACUCAACCUGCCGCACUGAAGAUGCUUGGGAGAAGUUCCAAGAACUGUUCAACGACAAGUACUUUCCCGAAAGUAUUCAUCACAUGAAAGAGGUAGAGUUCAUCAAGCUAGAACAGAACAAUAUGACCGUGUCGCAGUAUGAAGCCAAGUUCACCGAGUUGUCCCGGUUUGCGUCCCAUUUGGUUGAUAAUGAGGAGAGAAUGACGCGAAUGUUUUUAAGAGGUUUAAAACCAGAGAUAAGUCAAUAUCUUAUCUCUCAUAAACUGUGUUUGUAUUAAGAUGUUGUUAAUAGGGCUCAGUUAUUGGAGCGCGAUAAUGAGUUAAACCAACCAAAGGAGAGCAGCCGGCAAAACGAUAAUACCAGUUAUAACAGUCAUCGAAGCGGUGACAAUAAGCGUGGAGGGAAUCAACAUGCCAGAAAUGGUAACCACUUUGGUGGUAAUAUUGGCCAAAACAAUAAGAAUGGAAAUUUCAAGAAGAGGAGAUUCAACAAUGAUGGAAAGAUGUCAACAUCAGCACCUGUCGUUGAGGAAGGAGAACGACCACCUAUCAUAUGCUUCAAGUGUGGAGGAGAGGGACACAUUAGUCCCAACUAUGCCAUGCCAUCCAAGGCAUGUUAAAACUGUGGAAGAGAAGGUCACCUGGCCCGAUUUAUCAUGCACCGAAGACAAGUCCAGCUGGGAUGGAGGCACCGAAGGCCGUCCCAGAAAAGUUAAAGCCAGUAGUAUUCAAGGAAUAUUUGGAUCACUUUGUGGUCGUCUUUAUUGAUGACACCCUCAUAUAUUCCAAAACCUGUGAAGAUCAUGAGCAACACUUGAGGCUGAUACUCCAAAAGCUUCGUGAAUAUAAGCUUUAUGCCAAGUUAAAGAAAUGCGAGUUCUAGCUUGAGGAAGUAGAAUUUCUUGGGCACGUGGUAUCAAGUCAUAGAAUAUCUGUUAACCCAGCAAAGAUUGAAGCUAUUCAAAGCUGGGAGCAACCUAAAUCAGUGACUGAAGUACGUAGCUUUCUCGGCUUAGCUGGUUAUUAUCGGAGAUUCGUGGAAGGAUUUUUUCGAAUCGCUACUCCAUUAACUCAGCUGACUNNNNNNNNNNNNNNNNNNNNNNNNNNNNNNNNNNNNNNNNNNNNNNNNNNNNNNNNNNNNNNNNNNNNNNNNNNNNNNNNNNNNNNNNNNNNNNNNNNNNUACUCAUGAUCUAGAGUUGGCAGCUGUUGUCUUUGCACUAAAGAUUUGGAGGCAUUACUUGUAUGGGGAGAAAGUGGAGAUCUUUACGGAUCAUAAAAGCCUCAAAUAUUUCUUUACUCAAAAGGAACUCAACAUGCGACAACGACGUUGGCUUGAACUAUUGAAAGAUUAUAAUCAUACCAUCCAAUACCAUCCUGGAAAAGCGAACGUGGUAGCUAACGUAUUGAGUAGAAGAUCAUAUGCGAGCACGAGUGCAAUAUUGUCAACGUAAAGGCCCAUUUUGUAUGACUUGCAUAGGAUGGAGAUAGAGAUAAAGACUCCAUGGACCCACGUGAUGAUGGCGAAUAUACGAGUAGAACCGAAUUUAAUUGAUAAAGUUAAAACUUCUCAAACUACAGACCUGAAGCUGAUGCGUAUGAGGAAGAAAGUGCAAGAAGGUGCUAUGCCAGAAGCAUGAAUCGAUGAUGAAGGAAUACUUCGAGUCAACUCCAGACUUUGUGUUCCUAACGAUCCUGACUUAAAGUAUAAAAUCAUGAUGGAGGCGCACAACACACCGUUUGUAAUCCAUCUUGGGAGUACCAAAAUGUAUCGUGAUCUUCGUCAUACAUUUUGGUGGAGCAAUAUGAAGAGAGAGAUAUCGUUGUUUAUCUCAAGGUGUCUAACUUAUCAACGAGUCAAAGCGGAUCAUCAAGUACCAAAAGGUCUAUUGCAACCACUUGAAAUUCCAGAAUGAAAGUGGGAACACAUUACCAUGGAUUUCGUUACUGGUCUUCCCAAGGUUUCUCAAGGCAUAGAUGCAAUUUGGGUCAUUGUUGAUAGAUUGACCAAGUCUGCUCAUUUCUUACAAAUACGUGAAACUUAUAUGCUUAAACGUCUUACUCGUAUGUACAUAAACGAGAUUUUAAGACUGCAUGGUAUGCCAGUAUCCAUAGUUUUUGAUCGAGACCAAAGAUUCACUUCACAAUUUUGGGUUAGUUUGCAAAAAGCUAUGGGCACAGAUUUACGAUUUAGUUCAGCAUAUCAUCCUCAGACGGACAGACAAUCAGAAAGGACUAUUCAAACUCUUAAAGAUUUAUUAAGACUCUGUGUACUUGACUUCAAGGGAAGUUGGGACAAGUUCUUACCGUUGGUGGAGUUUUCCUACAACAACAGUUAUCAAGCAAGCAUUGGCAUGGCUCCAUUCAAGGCGUUGUAUGGAAGAAAGUGUCGUUCUCUAGUAUGCUGGGAUGAGGUGGGUGAAGCAACGUUGUUGGGACCGGAGUUGGUACGUAUGACUACGAAAAAGAUUCAAACGAUCCGACAACGUAGAGCAUGGAUGGACUAGGUAUGAUUAUGACCAGGGAUUAUUCGGUGCAAUCAUGACCAUAAUGUAACGAGUGAUGUGGUAAAAGUCCUCAUUGGCCGUAGUGCAUUGAUGGACAUUUGUUGGCAUGAUCAUGACCAUUGAUGAAUACACAAAUAUCCUUGGCCCGUAGUGCUUGGAAUUUGUGGUCGUGACCCUAAUGAAUAUCCUUGGCCGUAGUGCAAGGAUGAUGUGAAUUAAUUAUUAAGCUGAGUCUCAGCGAUAAAAGUGAUGAAAAACUUUUUAAAUCAUAAAAGAUAGUAGAUUUUAUUCUCUACUUGACUAUUUUAAUGGAUUGCUUGAUCCGCUGCAGUUAAACUUGAUGUCUAUUGUAUUUUAUCAGUUUAACAUUGUUGAAGACUAACGAUAAUUUAUUCUGCAUUAUCUUAGUCAUAAUAGUUCUUACUAGGCUAGUUGAGCUCACCCUUUCUUUCACUGUUCUCUUCAAAAAAUAAGAACGUAGCUGGGACGAGUCGGGGAACUGAGUGAUGGUCCGGAUGAUAGUAUUAGCUAGUAGUCCUCACUAUUUUGUUAAAUAGUGUGACAAUAAAUGUAAUGAGGACCUAUUCUGAGAGUGGAUAUUGUCUAGAAGACAAUAUUUGUAUUUAAACUGACAGCAUAUGUUUUGUCGUAUUUUACACGACUGCUGUAUUAUUAGUUUGUAUUUGAAUUUUGUACCAUGUAUUUGGCGACUCAAGAUGGGUGAUGUAUACCUAUUUUGGGGGCGUCACAUAUCCAAUCAUAUGAGUGAGCUUUAGGGAUUGGUGAAUCAGUUGUCUACCAUGAAGUUGAAUCUUGAGGAUGAGAUUCAAGUGUCAUUGAUUCUCAAUUCCGUGCCUAACAAUUAGGAAACUUUAGUUGCCACUAAGCAAUUCAACUCCGAAAGGAAAAAUAUAACCAUGCAGAUGGUCAAGGACAACAUACACAAUGAGGAAACAAGUCGAAAGGAGUAGGGUUUGAAUUUUGAGACACGGGUACUUGUGACAAAGAACAGGGGUAGAAGUAAUUUUAGGGGAUCUCACAAGGGAAAUAUGAAUCUCAACAAAAGAAAAAAUUUUAAAAAUCAUAGGAGCAAGUCAAAGACCAAAGAAGGCGUUACAUAUAUAGGUGAUAUCAUUGUAAAAAGGAGGGUCACUUUAAAGGAAAUUGCAAGAUUUGAUUAGACAAACAGAAAACUGGUGAGCAAUGGAGGGUUGAGGAAAAUAAUAUUGCAAUUAUAAUUACCGAGGAUGUUGUGCUUCUUUCAUUCAGGGAAAAAGAAUUCUUACAUAUUGUUGAUCAAAAAAUUGAUUGGGUUAUUGAAACAGGUGCUUCGUAUCAUGUUGUGGGCAAGGAAAUUGUACCUUACUAGGAUUAUGGUUUCGUGUUGACUGAGGAGGAGAGAAAUCCAUAAAGAGCACGAAAUUGAUUGAAGAGGGGAGAAGAACAGGUGGGCGAUUACUCCAACGACGCGUGACAGAACUCCUAGAAUCCGGGAACCGUGUUAGGGUAGCAAGGAUUCCAAGAGCCUUCUUGAGUCCUUCAAGUUGAGAGAAUGUCCAAACCCCUUUAGUGUUUUUAGGUGGAAUCUCCAAGCCUUUAAGUCCCCAAAAGGGUCCCUUUGAUCUUCCAAGAGUCCAAGUCUUGAGUCUGAAGAGAAAUCCCCUUCCAAAUGGAAUGGAAAGGGUAUUUAUAGGGUUUUCUGGAAAGUAUUCAUGUGCAAGGCACAUGCCUUCAGGAAAAUUCCAGAAAUACCCUUUAGUCAUUAGAAUAAUGCCCAUAUUGUCCUGUCCUUCUAGCCACCAAUCCAAUCCCUCAAUCAAUUCCCAAAACGAGCCGCCUCCACGAGUCUUCUGCCUCAGGACACGUGGAGGCUUCUCCCGGGUCUAGCACAUUUAUUUCUGACUUUUCUGCCUUUAUUCCAUUAGGUUAUGCGAACCCUAAUUUGCACAUUUAAUGAGGUCGUGGAACCCUAAUUGUGCAUUUAAUUCAAUUAGGUCAUGUGAACCCUAAUUCUACACUUGGGCCCAUAUUUGCCCCCUACGUGAGAGCCGCAUUUCCAAAUAGACGAUUGUGCAAGAAAAUUAUAAGCCUUUGAAUGAUUUUACAGGGCUUCACUUUAUAGGUCUUGAAUACAAUGGUCCUAGUAGAGGAAACCUCUAGGGAACCGAACUCUUAGGGUUAAACCCUAGGUAGGCAAAACCUAGUAGGGUUCUUUCUUGGACAAAUUGGGAACUUCUCCAAAAAUCCUUCUAUAGCUUGCCCAAUAUUUGUUUCCUUAUUUUUUUCUGGAAAUUGAAACAUGAAAUAUCAUCAAAUAUCACCAAGUAAAAAAAAAUCUUUAUUUUGGUACACAAAAUCUUUCAUUUUCAUCAAAUCAAAUAAAAUCAUAAUAAAAUCAAAUCUUAAUUUUAUUUUGAAAAUAAAAUCAAAUCAAAUCUUAAAGUAAAAUAAAAUCAAAUCUUAACUUUAUUUUGGAAAUAAAGUCAACUCUUUCUUUAUUUUGGAAAUAAAACAAAUCUUUCUUUAUUUUGAAAAUAAACCAAAUCUUUCUUUAUUGGAUAUAUAUAUAUAUAAGCUAUUUUCGAAAAUUACCCCUUUUUGGGAAUAAAAUUAAACUUUAAUUUUAUUCUUUUCGGAAAAUAAACUUUUUACUUAUCUUAUUUUGGAGAAGGAGUCGAUAUUCAUAAUCCAUGGCCACAUGUCUUGCUUCUGAUUAGGUAGGUGCUACUUGCGUGCAUAUGUCCAAUAAUUGAGAUUUUAAACCAUUUAGGAUUGUCUCAUAAUCAGUAGGAGCCACAACACACGUGUAUUCAUCAUAGUUGCAGCCAUAUUAGCAAGUCUCACUAUUAGCGACAUCCUUGCAGUAUCUGACACCGGGUAAUUGUAGACCCUUAGGGGUGCAGCCUUUAUUAGAGUCUCCAUUAGCCAAUUUCUCAUAAUUGUUUCAUCUAUAUAUUUUCAGGUAAUUGUGGACUUUCUUUUGUCUUUCAAGCCCCAUCAUCUUGAUUAUAUCUUGGUUUUUUCCCUUGGAAUUUAUUAGAAAAAGCUAUAAUCUUCGCGGCGAAGGAGCAUUCGUUCCAAGCAGUUGAUUGGUAGUGCAACAAGACCUCAAGGGUAUGAAGGGGAACAUCCUCUAGAUAGCCGAGGCUUAUAUGGCCGAAGCCUACAAGAUUCUUUUUUUUAAGGGCGAAAGAAAUAACCCCUAGGUGGCCUAAGGCAACAUGGUCGACCCCUAGGGGGUGGAAGGCAACAUGGCCGGCCCCUAGGGGGUCGAAGCCAACAUGCCCAAUUUUUUUUUUGGGCGAAAGGAAUAACCCCUAGGUGGCCUAAGGCAAUAUGGUCGGCCCCUAGGGGGUUGAAGCCAACAUGGCCGCACCCUUAUGGAAAAAAUGAAGUUUAAAUGAAAAAAAAUGAAGUUUUGGAGGAGCAACUACUAUUUUGAUUAUAACUUUUGACUUGUUUGGAGUUUCGGGGCCCUAAAUAUAUCAAAACGAAAAUAUUGACGAGCCCUACAAAAGGCAUGGCCUAUGGCCAUGAUAUUUGCCGUUAUAGGUCCAAAAAAGCCCCCGAAGGAUGUCUUUUGGCCCUUCAAAGUUUUUUUGAAAAUAUUUGGGAAAUUUUUUCUUCCAUAAUUGUGAUUCCUAACUCUUUCUGACAUUGUUUCUUCUUCUUUUCAGGCAUUUUGAAGCUUAACUCUCAGACUUUUCUCUUUGCCAUGGUGAGUACUUCGAGCUCAAGCACUUUACUUGAUAUCUUUUCUUUGCUUCUUCAUAAUGAAUUUCCAUUGCUUGUAGGCCCUUUCACCUGAAUGUUCUGUAGAACCAAAAACUACCCAGGAGUCCCCAUUCAUCACCGAUUGGGGGAGAGCUCCCUUCUUUAGUCCUUCUGACACCUUCUGGGAUAGAGUUAAGGACUAUGACCAAGCAGUUUUUCCUCUACCAAAGAGGAAGGCCUGUUUCUGUAUGCCCCAUCUUGUGGAGGUUGGAAUGACUUCCCAUAUGCCAAUUGCAUUCCCCGCAUAUGCAUAGAGAAGAAAGAAUACCCUUUCAGUCCCCUUCACUUCUUGUCUAAUUCAUCUAGUCACCUUCAAGGAUGGUAGGAUUGGACCAAUGAGAUCCUUGGAAACACUGAUUUUGUGGACAAACUCAAGAAUGCGGGCAUCCUUCGUUGUGUUCAAUUAUGCAGAGACCUACAUAUCCAACAGGACCAUAAAGCCCUUUCUGUAUUAAUCUCACGAUGGUGUUCCUCUACUUGCACAUUUGUCACUGCUUGGGGGGAAUUCACCCUUACUCUAGAGGAUGUCUAUGCCCUCUAUCAGUAAGUAUUUGCCCCCUGCGCGUGAGUCAAGCCUUUGGUGAGAUGAUCGCGCAAAAUAUUUUUAAGUGUUAAAGUCUUGAUUCCAGUUUCUAAACACUUCGCGGGGCUUGAUAUUUUGCAAGCCUCAAAAAUGAAAGUCCUUGGAGAGGGAACCUCUAGGGGAGCAAACCAUAGAAGGGCGAGCCUUAGAGGAGCUCUCCUGGGAUAUUGUGAAAAAUCUUCGAUGUAAUCCUUCUUACUCUCUUUUGAAAUUUCUCUUUUCUUUAGAAUCAAGAAGUCGAAGACCAAUGCUAAUGAAGAGGAUGAUGAUGUUCCCAUUGGGCUCUUUGUGAGUAUCGCAAAUGAGGCAGUGGGUAUCGAGUCUUCUUCACCACAUGACACCUUUCUACAACUUCUCCACAUGACAGUUUUGAGGCUGCCGAUGAGACUCCUGCUUCUUUGAGGCAGAAUCCUUCUAAGACUUAUUGUUGAUGUUCAUCCUCCCAAGGAGGAUCCCGCCGAGUUGGUGAUUUCUCGGGAGGGUAUUGUGAAUAGUACUUUGGGUGGGUUGAAUGACAUUCCGCCUCCCGUGUCAUCUCCUAACCCUCUUUGGACAUGUCUUCCUUCCAUGUUAGGUUAGAUCUCUCCCAUCAUCAUGUUGUUGCACUUCGUUCAGAAGUCACUUCUCGUCACAAUGGGAAUGAUUUACUUCAUCAUGUAAAACUUUAGGAGCUUCAAGAUGCCAUGGAUAAAUUGAAGACCAGUCUUUUGGGAAAUUGAGUCAGCUGCCCAAGACCUUAAAGGCCUGAUAGCCUCGAAGUCUUGAUAGCGUUGGAGGCCUGAUCGAUAGCCUUAAUUGAAGACCAAACUUUAGUUAUUCCCCUCUCUUUAAUUCGACAGGUCAUGGCCUUUAGAUCAUGCACUUUCGUUAUUUUUUCCAUUUUCUGUAUCAGAAAAUUCAUGUAAAUAUAUUUUAUUCAUCAAAUUGUAGUUUUUAUUAUCCUUAUUGAUUGCUUUUAAUUUGAACGAUUCCUUAAAACUCAAUAUUUAUCAUUGAAUCUCAAGUUAUUCAAAUUAAUACUCCAAGACAACAAUAGGUAUUAUAAACAAGUAAGCAUGAAUUUUGUCAAAAACAUGUAUAUAUAUUUUCCACAAACCAACACUUCAAUUUAUACUUUUUUAUCUUUUUUUUAAGAAAUCAAGAAAACAUUCAAGUAUAAGUGAAAGUUUAUCAAUUCAUUGAUAAUCAUAUUACUUUUAACGAAAAGCAUAACGUUUUAUAUAAUAAAUCUUGCUUUUGUCGAAGAAAGCAUAACGUUCGCCACUUUUAGAGAUAAAGUGUAAUUUUCUUGCUUUUGUCGAAGAAAGCAUAACGUUUGUCACUUUUAAAGAUAAAGCAUAACUUUCGGGGUUGAGGGCUUAUACUCAGGUGCCUCAAUUACUUUGGAAGUUAAAAGCAUAACUUAAGAGGACUUAUAGUCAGGUGCCUCAUUCACUUUUGAUGAUAAAGUGUAACACUCGGGUACCUCGUCACUUGGGUCGUCCAAUUUCUUGGCAAGUGCAGUCUACGAGGACUUGAAAUCGGAUGUCUCGUCACUUGGGUCGUCUAAUUUCUUGGCAAGUGCAGUCUACGAGGACUUGAAAUCAGGUGCCUCGUCACUUGGGUCGUCCAAUUUCUUGGCAAGUGCAAUCUACAAGGACUUGACCACCAUCUUGGGUGGAUUUUUUUUUAUUCGUCAAUUCUUGUGCUUCCUCCCUUGGUCAUCCAAUUACUUGGCAAGGGAUAUUCCUGAGGACUUAAACCACCACAACGGUGGACCACCAUCUUGGGUGGAUUUUUAAUUUAUCUGUAGUUCAGAGUUCUUUUGAUGGUAGAGCCAGUAUUUGAGUUCUUGACUUAUGGGACUACACCAUGGGUGAUAAUGUUGCACGUUUCUUCUCUUAGUUCAAUCUCCCCAGCCGCCAGCUUCUCAUGGUAUAUCCUUCGCAGACUGUGACAGUCCAUAGUGGAAUGUCCCGCGUAUUGGUGGUAUACACAGAAGUUUGGUUUUCUUUUCAUCUCUUUUGUCACAACCAACCGAGGCUUUGGAGGUUUCACAACUCCAUGCUCGACCCAUUGUUCGUACAGGCUCCUGAAUGCCUUCUUGCUGCAUGUGAUAGCCUCCGGAACUGGCAUUAUGGUAUACUUGUCCCCAUGCUUUUCUCUGCUUCGCUCAAAUUUCUCAUUCUUCUCCCUUUUGCCCCCUUGUGGUUUUGACUGAGAAUCUGCCAACGCCACGGUUGUUGUCCUCUUGCUUUUCCAUGUAACCAUCACAUGGCUGGUGGGAAAUGUCAUGAUUCCUCCUGAGUCUUGUGCAACAGAUGAGAGGGUCGCAAAUGAAUCACAAGCCUUGGUAAUGAGGUGGGGCUUGAAGGCGUCUAAAGCACCAUUGUUUCAUAUACUAACCAAAUUCUUUUCUUCAAUUGGCUCUGCACAUUUUUGUGCUUGGGCCCUGAACCUAUCCACGUAAUCUGAUAGCUCCUCGUUUGGCUUCUGCUUGAAUCGCAUGAGUUCUACGAUGGUUACUUGUUUUUGCACAUCGAAAAAUUUCUUAAAAAAUUACAAUUUUAGAUCAUCCCAAUCAUGUACGGAUCCAUUCUCCAAGUUAUAGUACCAACUGAAGGCACUAUCUAUCAAAGUCUUAUUGAAUUCUCGCAUCAACAAGUUGUGGUUGGUCACUUCAUCAUAUCCGAGCUACGGAGACAUUGACUCUACAAACCUGGCAAUAUGUUCCAUGGCAUAUUCCUUUUCUCCUUGUUGUAUUUUGGAAACUCCGGGGGAUGCUCAAUAUACCAUGUCGGGUAAGGUUGCCUCUGAAUGUGUUUCGGGUAAGGUGGAGUAAAGUCUAACUCCGAGGGUCGGGAUGUCUGCUUGCGAAGUUGAUUGAUCACAUCGAUCAUAUCAUCCUUCGUCACGUACUGACUUGUGGCAUGAACUUUCUGGGGUGUUGUGAUAUACUGAUGUAUCUGCGGUGUGUAUGGUAGAGAGGUUGGUUGAUGUACACUUGCAUCGUGCAAAGUUGGCACUUGUGGCAGUUGGUGGCUCACUCGCUGGAUAUGACUUGAAAUGAUUGGCAUUUGCACCUGUGAAAAUGUUGGAAGAGCGGUUGGGAUGAUGUGUGUUUGAGGUUGGCUUGCUUCCAACUUGGCUUGUGGCACGUCACCACUGUUCUGGGCCUCCAAGUUGAUGAUUGGAACCGAAUGAUUCUCCAUCGAUGGAGGUACAAUAAGGUUCUCUUUGUUGUUGCUGCCAUUGUUGUUGUCUUCCACCCCUACUUGUUCCCCCUGUGAACUUCUUGGGAACAUGGCCUUGAAGGUGAGAAUCUGCAUCAACUGCUGGCAGAAAAUCCCCAUUUCCUCUUGCUUCCUCUUCAUUUCCAGUAUCAUGGCCAUCAUCAUCCCUUGCCCUUCUCGUACUUCCUUCAAUGCCUUGAGCAUCUCCAGUUGCACAACAUUCGUCUGCUCUCCGCUUGCAUCCUCGCCUUGCCUUCCUGCGUUGGUUUGUUGUUGAUUGGUCAUAUAUGGUGAUGUCGAACUCCCUUCUGAAGCGUCUUCAAUAAGUGGCUAGUCAAAAUCCAGGUUUGCGCCUUGGAAUGUUUGAGUUACUUGCCUUGGAACUGGAUCCGGUGAGGUAAUGCUAUUUGUUGGUGAAGCAGCUCUUCCUGUAGUUCUCCCACUUCGAGUUGUGGGCAUACCCUUCACGAAUUCUACACCUCCCCAGCAGAGUUGCCAAAGAAAUGUGGGCAAGGAAAUCAUAUGUGACACCCCCAAAAUAGGUAUACAACACCCAUUCUGAGUCGCCAAAAUACAUGGUACAGAAAUAACUACAACUUAUUAAUACAACACAUAAACUGUGAGUUUAAAUACAAAUAUUAUCAUCUAGACAAUAUUCACACCCAAAUAAGUCCUCAUUACAAUUAUUGGUACAUUAUUUUACAAAAAUGGUGAGGACUACUAAAAUAACUUUCUAGAACCAUCAUUCCACACCCUGACUAGAACUCGCUACAUUCUUGCCUCCUGAGAAGAAAAAUGGAACAAAAAGGAAAAUGGUGAGCUCAACUAUCCCAGUAAAGAACAUUAUGACUAAGAUAAUAUAAAACAAAUUAUCGUUAGUCUUCAACAGGGAAAAAUCUGAGAGAAUAUAAUAAGCAACAAAUUUUAGAUCAAUAUUCGCAGCGAAAAUAAUAAUUCAUAGAAGAGUUACGUAGAGAAUGAAAUCUACUAUUAUCUAUGAAUUUAACAGUCCAUCAUUAAUAUUUUAUCCCUGUAACAUCAAUCAAUAUUCAUCUUGAAUCAAAUUUUUAUCUUUGCACUACAGGCCAAAGAUAUUCAUUAGUCGGUCAUGUUCAUCUCAACAUCUGUUCAUCUUUACACUACGGGCCAAAGAUAUUCAUUAGAAAAUCAUUCAUCUUUGCACUACAGGCCAAAGAUAUUCAGUAAUAUCAUCAUUUAGGACUGAGGAUGAUGAAAAAUAUUUUAAAGAAAACGAAUCUAGUGAAACAAAAGAACAAAUAUUAAAGAUUCGUACUUUAAACAAUCCAAGUUCAAAAAUACUUCAUAAAUAACCAUAGUGAAGUAAAAUUCAAUAAUGAUCAAAACAUGGAUACAAUCAAAGCUAGUAUCCAUAAUAGAUAUUUUGGACAAAAACAAAAAUUUAAUUUUUCUGUGAAUAGUGUCGUAUUCGUGAAUAGUGUCGUAUACGUAAAUAGUGCCGUAUACGUGAAUAGUAACCCCGACACUAAAAGACAAGAAUUUUACAAGAAAAAUCUUUCCAAUAUUCCAGCAUAAUGAUAUUAGAAGAAAUAAUAUCAUUUUUUUUAAAAAAAUAACAUCCAUUACCUCGAAAAGAAUAGUACUUCUGGCUGGAAUAUCAGAUAUAACGCUAAAGGAACUUGCACCGUAUAAGAACACUCAAAGUAUCAAAAUACUCACAAGAAUACGCUCGAUAAUAUAGAGAGAGAAACUUCAGUUUCUGGUGUGAUUUUCAAUUCUAACCUAAGCACCCUAUUUAUAGGAAAAUGCUUAGAACACCAAAGCAGAAUAUUUAAUAUAAUAUUAAUAUAAUUUUUUCAAAUUUCCUACGCCCACUUACCAGCCCACAACAUCAGCCACACAUGUUCCAAAACAUUAAAAAUGUUUUUCUUAAUUAAAAUAUUUUAAACUUCAAAUUUAAUUAUUUCGGAACUUCGGAACUUCAAUAAUUCAUAAUAAAUAGCCCUUUUGUCAGAAAAAUUCGAACCUUAUGUCUUUUACAUAGGAAAUUCUAUUUUCUACAACUUUGUAAGUUUAAGUUUUUCUAAAUUCCAAACAGAAGUUGACCGAAAUCCACAAACGGACGAUUUUACGGGCUAUAAUCCAAUUUUAGUCAAGAAAUGGGGUCCACCGACAUGUUUAACAUGUUUUAAACAUUUAUUGAAAUAAAAAUACUCUUCCUCCUCAUUUAUUCAUAUAUCCAACAUUCAUUGUAAAAAUAUCAUCAUUAUUAUAUUAUUAAAAUAUAAUAAUAUAUUUUUUCAGAAAAGAUAAAAUAUCAAUUUUCAACAAUUGUCACAUUAAAAAUUUUCUCCAUCUAUAUCCACAUAAAAUGAAUAUUUUCCUUAUCAUAUAAAUCAAUAAUUAAUUAUUCAUAAAUAAUAUUACAGAAUCACAGUACUGGCAACCAGGCCGUUCCCAGGAAAGAGGGGGCUUUCCAAUAAGGAUUUCUCCUUACUGGCACGCAAUUAGGUGACCAAACCUCUCCUUAGACAGAACUUUCUAGACAUUGCCAAUAAUGCUAUCUAAUAAUAUUAUUCAAAUAAUAUGAAUUAUUGAUCUGAUAAUAGAAAAUACUGUGCAGUGACAAUUAUUGAAACAACAAUAAUCUAAAAUAUCAACGUAGCAAUUAUUGAAUCAAUAAAAUAAAAUAUUGAACAAUAAUUACUGUAACAAUUAUUGAGUACUGUCUUCUUAUGUAAGAAUUAAUAAUUUGUGCAAUACCGUGUGCUACUAUGUUUUUAACCACCGGGUAUUCCAACAGUAUUAACGGUAACAACUACGCCGUUAUUUAUAAACAACUUAUACUUGUCAUUUUCUUCAUCCAAUCGCUUUUCGUUAUGGGGCCCAUAAAAGGCUGCGUCGUCGUAUGAAUAUUCUCCGACAGUAAGAAUAUUCCACGACCAAAUGAAUAUUCUCCGAUAAAAAUGAAUAUUUUAUAACCACUUGUUUACUUGAAAUAUUUGCGCAUGUUACCCAUAACUAACCACAUUAAUCAAAUCAACCCUUACUAUUUAAAAAUAAUAAAUAGAGGAAAUUUAAUUUUAUUUAUAAUAAGUUGGGGUCUUACAUCGUACCUUGCUAGGAUUAUGGUUUCGUGUUGACUGAGGAGGAGAGAAAUCCACGAAGAGCACGGAAUUGAUUGAAGAGGGGAAAAGAACUGGUGGGCGAUUACUCCAACGACGCGUGGCAGAACUCCUAGAAUUCGGGAACUGUGUUAGGGUAGCAGGGAUUCCAAGAGCCUUCUUGAGUCAUUCGAGUUAAGAGAAUGUCCAAACCCCUUUAGUGCUUUUAUGUGGAAUCUCCAAGCCUUUAAGUCACCAAAAGGGUCCCUUUGAUCUUCCAAGAGUCCAAGUCUUGAGUCUGAAGAGAAGUCCCCUUCCAAAUGGAAUGGAAAGGGUAUUUAUAGGGUUUUCUGGAAAGUAGUCAUGUGCAAGGCACAUGCCUUCAGGAAAAUUCCAGAAAUACCCUUUAGUCAUUAGAAUAAUGCCCAUAUUGCCUUGUCCUUCUAGCCACCAAUCCAAUCCCUCAAUCAAUUCCCAAAACGAGCCACCUCCACGAGUCUUCUGCCUCGGGACACGUAGAGGCUUUUUCCGGGUCUAGCACAUUUAUUUCUAACUUUUUCGUCUUUAUUCCAUUAGGUUAUGAGAACCCUAAUUUGCACAUUUAAUGAGGUCAUGGAACCCUAAUUGUGCAUUUAAUUCAAUUAGGUCAUGUGAUAAUUUUACACUUGAGCCCACACAUGCUAAUCCUAAGAGAGAAUUCUUCACGACAUACAAAAUUGUAGACUUUGGGUUUGUGAAUAUGGGUAACACUAACCAGUCCAAGAUUGUUAGAAUUAGUGAUGUUUGCAUACAGAUAGAUGUAGACUACACUAUUACUUUGAGCGAUGUUAGACAUGUCUCAGAUUUGCGCGUCAACUUGAUUUCUGGUAUGGCAUUGGACAUGGAAGGAUAUAAAAAUCACUUCGGCAACGGAAAGUGAAAGCUUACCAAGGAUUCGAUGGUAGUUGGUAGAGGUACUGCUUGUUGCUCGUUAUACAAAACUCAUGUGAAGGUGUGUUCUAGCGAGUUGAAUACAGUUGAAGAUGAAUCUUCAUUGAAUAUGUGGCAUAAAAAGCUAGGGCACAUGAGUGAGAAAGUGUUUCAGAUGUUAGCAAAGAGGUCCCUCAUUCCUUUUGCUAAAGGUACUGUACUAAACCGUUGUAAUUAUUGUUUAUUUGGUAAGCAUAAUAAACUUUAUUUUAGUAGUUCCCCCCAAAAGAAAAUCUAAGUUAUUUGAGAGAGUAUAUUCUGAAGUAUGUGGUCCCAUUGAGGUUGAGUCAUUGGGUGGCAAUAGGUAUUCUGUUACUUUUAUUGAUGAUGUUUUAUUUAAGGUGUGGGUCUUUUUGUUGAAAAAAAAAGACUAGAUAAUCCAACAUUUUCAGAGUUUCCAUGUUAUUGUUAAAAGGGAGACUGAAAUUUUUUUGAAUUGCUUUCGUAGCGACAAUGGAGGGGAAUAGACAUCAAAGGAGUUUGCGGCAUAUUAUGAUAAAAGCAGUAUUCGACAUGAGCAGACAGUUCCUAACACCCCACAUAAUAAUGGUGUAGCUGAGAGAAUGAACCACAUUGUGACAUUUCAAAUAUUCGAAGCAUAUUAAAAUAAAAAUUUAAAUUAAUAAAAUUCUUAUUAUGUAAUAUUAGAUUGCAUAAGUGAAAUUUGGCUAUGUAAUGUGACAAUUUGUAUAAUAAUAAGUAUAUUAUUAUUAUAUAUAAAUAAAUUGUUAAAAACAAUUUAUAAAAGUGAGAAAGGAAAUGAUUGAAUUUAAAGUAUACAAAAAUUAUUUUAAUCGGGUGAAUUUAUUUCAUUAAGGAUAUUAUUUUCCAUUUUAUUGAAAUAAUUAAGCAAUUAUAAUGCAUAAGGUAUAUAUGUGUUAUAAUGUAAAAUGUAAUAUAACACGAGGUGUUGAUUGAUAAGCUGAGUCAGUGAGUAUAAAAGCUUAUGAAAGAAACUAAGAGCAAAGCUUAUAAGAGAAACUAAGAACAAAACUUAUGGGAGAAACUAGGAGUAAACUUGGAGCCAAAGAAUGGCUUUUCUUGGAGCCAAAGUUUGGCUUAGCUUGGAGCCAAAGUUUGGCUUGUCCUGGAGCCAAAGGUUGGCUUAAUUAGCUUGGACCCAAAGAAUGGCUUGUCUUGGAGCCAAAGUUUUGAAGGCUAAAUCACUAUAAUACCCCAAGUCUUAGAUUUUCUAUAAAUAGAGGGCCACUAAAUUUAUUUGGAAUUGUUUUUCACUUCCACCAAUUUUUAGUAAUUUUGAGAGAGCAAGAGAAAGUAAAGCAGAGGGCCACGGUUUUCGCAAAAGGAGAAGAGGAGGGGCUAUCAAGAAAUUCAAGCAAGCAUCAUCUAGAAAGAAAAGGAAGGAAGCUAAGCAAGAAGGUAUAAACUUUUCAAAACCCUAUUAAUUUUAAAUCUCUAAGCAUAGAUUAUGUUCUUGCUUAGUUGUUGUGGGAGGAAUGUUUUGUGACGCCCCCAAAAUAGGUCCAAUCCAUCCAACCCAUUCUGAGUCGCCAAAUACAUGAUACAGAAAACAACUAUAACUUUAUUACAACAAUUGUCGUGCAAAAUACAACAACACAUAUGUUGUGAGUUUGAUAUAAAUAUAUACCAACUGUGACUCAUGUCCCAACCUUAGAUAGCACGUCACAAUGACACCUUACAUAAAGGUACAAUCAAUAAUUGUUUUUAGAAAUCAAAAUUUUUGGAAAGUGCUCGAGGAAACCUUCGUACAUGGGAGGCCAUGCGUCUCGGUUAUAAUAGAUAUCAUAUGCCCACAAAAUUAUCCUUGGUUGACCUAAUAGACCCCAAAGAAAAACGAGAAGAUUACUAUCAUGUUCUUUCCAAUGGUGAGUCUUCUCUUGACAUAUAAAUAUCUCCACUGUCUCCAGUUGAAAAUUAUAUUUCAAAUAAACUCCAAGAUCAUAUAGGUAGUGCUCGUAGAUAUACUCAGCAAGUGGAUGUGCACAACCCUGUCUUCUGAUAACACGAGUUUGUAUGUCAUUAGACAUCUUGUAUGAUAGUGGCAAAAACCCUUCCAAAGUUGGGUUCACUUCACCCUAUUAUAGUUCACCAAAAUUAAAUAUUACGUGAUGUAUAAUACGACACACACAUCUUAGGUCCUCAAUACAAUUAUAUAUUGUAUGUCAUGCCGUUUUAAAAUGUGUUGAGAAACUUUGACAGUCUCGGACCACCACACUAUUCCCCUGUUAUCCCCGCUCGACCCAGCUACACUCUUAUUACCUGAAAGGAAUUGUGAAGCAAAAAGGGUGAGCACAACUAACUCAAUAAAUAAUAUCAUAACUAAAGAUAAAUAAAUUAUCAAUAGCCUUCAUCAGUAAUAAAUCAGAGAUUUAGAACAUAUGGAAGAUGAUAAAACUUUUCAACCAUAGUUGCAGCGGAACGAGCAAUCCAUUAGAAGAUUCAAAUAGACUAUAAAGUCUAUUAUUUCCUCCACGUUAAAAGUCCACCAACAAUGUAUUAUCCCUGCAACAUCAAUCAACAGUUCAUUUCCACAAUCAUAUGAAUAACUCAUAUUCAUAAUUGUGAUUCUAAUUACUCUUCUCAUCCAGGACGAAGAUAAUUUUUAUCACCUGUCUUUACCUGAAACAUCAAAGAUCAUGGUUAUACCAAAUCAUAAUUUAUGUUCAUAAUCAUACUAAUAAAUUUAUCUUUGCACUACGGACCAAAGAUAUUCAUCAACAGUUCAUCUUUGCACUACAUGCCAAAGAUAUUCAGCAACAGGUCAUCUUUGCACUACGGGCUAAAGAUAUUCAACAACAUGUCAUCUUUGCAUUACGAGCCAAAGAUAUUCAACAACAGAUCAUCUUUGUACUACAGGCCAAAGAUAUUCAACAACAGGUCAUCUUUGCAUUACGAGCCAAAGAUAUUCAACAACAGAUCAUCUUUGCACUACAGGCCAAAGAUAUUCAACAACAGGUCAUCUUUGCACUACGGGCCAAAGAUAUUCAUAUCUCAAAUAAAUACAUAAUCAUUUCAGAAUUUAUAUAAACCAUAAUUAUAAUCAUGUUGAUCAAUUCACCUUUGCACUUAAGCUAAAAAUAUUCAAUUGUAAAUUCAAUGGUCAUGAUCAUACCAAUAAUCUACCCAUCUUUACACUCAAGUCAAAGAGAAAUUUCUUCACCAGAAUUAUAAAAAUGUUAUAUAUGAUAAUAAAAAUAAUAUUAUCAAAAUAUGGAUUCAAUCAAAGAUAGUAACCAUAAUAAACAUCUUGGAUAAAAAGAAAAUUACAUUUUUUGGUGAAUAGUGUCGUAUUCGUGAAUAGUGUCGUAUACGUGAAUAGUAACCCCGACACAAAGAGAUAAAGUUUCACAAUAAAAUCCAUAUCAAUAUUUAUAACACCUUAAUCCAAAUGUUAUAAAUCACUUAAUAAUAUCAAAAUCUUAAUAUUAUUAAUAUUACAACAAUAUUAAAUAAUUUCUUAAACUUAUAAAUAAUUUAAUUAAAUUGUUUACACUUUACUAAUUAAUGCAUUUAAUCAUCAUAAAAUGCCAAACUCAUAAGAUUUCAUCACCAAUAACCAAAAUCCUCAUCAAAAAUCUGCAUAUACCUCAUAUAUGAUUCUCAAUCCAUAAAAUUAUAUUUUUCAAUUUUCUUCCUUCAUAUAACAUAUUUAAUUCAUUUACUCAUAACUAGACCAUUUUCAUGAAAAAUACCAAAUCAGUUCCAAAAAUAUUUCUUUUCUCGGAUUUAGCAUAAUAUAGUCCCAUAUUGAACAUAUAUUUUUCUUAGAAUUUUUAAAAAUCAUUUACUAUUUUUCAUAUGGCCAAAACCGCCGAAUAUUUAGACAUUUAUCAUAAAUUGUACUUUAGUCCAAAAAUUCCGAAAUUUACAGAAUAUACUCAUGUUAUAUAUAUGUACUCCCAAUAAAAAUUUCACCAAUUUUGGAGUUAACCACAAGGAUUUAUAAGUGUUAACUUUUAAAAUAGUUAUUUCUCAUAAAAUCCAUAGCUCUUAAUCUAUACAUCCAAAAAUUGCCAUUUUUGGACACAAUCAACAAAACUUAUCAAAUUAUCAUUUCAAAUUUUUCCAGAAUUUUUAAAGACCUGAAAAGUUACGAAACAUGAAAAACAUAACAACCCUUAAAAUCCCUUACCUCAAAACAGCAGUACUUCUGACUUGAAUAUCGGAUGAAAAGCCGAAGGAAACUUUGCUCUGAAUAGCAACUCUUAAAAUAUCUAAAUACUCAUAAAAAUAUGCUUGAUAAUAUAGAGAGAGAAAACUUAUGUUUCUGGUGUGAUUUUCAAUUCUAACAUAAGCACCUAUUUAUAAGAAAAUGCUAGAACGCCAAAGGAGACUAAAUAAUAAAUUAUUAUUAUUAUUUCUAUUCAAAUUUCCUACGUCACCUCUCUUGAUCAAUUUAGGCAGCCUUAUUUGAACCAAAAUCAGCAGCCCAUGUGUAUUUAACACAAGUGGGUCCCACCCAUAAUUUAAUAAAAAUCAUUUUAUUUUUCAAAACUUUAACAAUUCAUAGAAAAUAGUUCGGUUAUCAGAAAAAUACGAAUUUUAUGUCCAUUCUGCCUGAAAUUGAAUUCUCUACAAUUUUGUAGCUUUGAGUUUUUCCAAAUUCCAGACCGAAAAUAUCCGAAAUCCACAAACGGAUGAUUUUAAACAGUGUUUCAACACCUUUUAAAAUUCAUAACAAAUCAUGCGUUAAUUUUUAAUGGUUCAAAAUUUGUGGACAUAUACUCAACAUAUAUAUGUAUAACAUAUCCAAAAAUCACAACGAUCCAACGGUCAGAUCAAAAUUAUAACUCACGCAAUAGAGCUUUAAGAACACCGAUUUGAUCUAUUAAUACCUCCAAUCCGACAAAAUACUUAUAAAACAACUCAACAUUAUUUCCUUCAUUUAUAACCACAUAAAUAAAUCCAUCAUUUAUAUCCGCAUCAAAUAAAUAUUUCCUUAUCAUAUAAAUCAAUAAAUAAUUAUUCACAAAUAAUAUUACAGAAUCACAGUUAUGACAACCAGGUGGUUCCCAGGAAAGAGGGUGCUUUCCAAUAAGGAUUUCUCCUUACUGGCGCGCAAUUAGAUGACCAAACCUCUCAUUGACAGAACUUUCUAGACAUUGCCAAUAAUGCUAUCUAAUAAUAUUAUUCAAAUAAUAUGAAUUAUUGAUUUGAUAAUGGGAAAUACUGUGCAGUGACAAUUAUUGAAACAAUAAUAAUAUAAACUAUCAACGCAACAAUUAUUGAAUCAAUACAAUAAAAUAUUAAACAGUAAUUACUGUAACAAUUAUUGAGUAGUGCCUUCUUACGUAAGAAUCAAUAAUUCAAAAAUAUUGUGUAAUACCGUGUGCUACUGUGCAACAACGCGUAUUACUGUAUUUUAACCACCAGGUAUUUCAACAGUGUUAACGGUAAAAACUCAAACUUGUCGUUUUCUUCAUCCGACAGUUAUUCUGUUAUAGGGCCCACAAAUGACUACGCCGUCGUACGAAUAUUCCCGACAAAAAGAAUAUUCCACGACCAAACGAAUAUUCUCCGACAACAAUGAAUAUUUUAUAGCCACUUGCGUAUUUUGUAAAAUUUGCAUAUUUCACCCAUAACUUUAAACUUUUAUCAAUUUAACUAUUUACUGAAUAAUAAUUAUAAGAAAAUUUGAAUAAUUUUAUUUCAUAAAAUUCGGGGUCUUACAUGUUUGGCUCAUGGAUCAUGGUGGAUCCUAUGUUAUAAGGGAGGAUAUGAAGGAUUAUAUAUGCUUGCUAUAUGUUUUAUGUAUGAAAAAUCAUGAAAAUACGAAAGCUUUCUAAGAAAACCUAGCUAAACGUCGAAAAAUUGAAAAUUUUCAAAAACGGAGACUGAAAUUUGAACAAGUAUAACUCCUAGAAUAUUUUGAAUUUUUGAGUGUGGUCAAGUUCUGAAAUUAGAUAUGGAAGUACCCUAACACCUCCAAUUGGACUUUCCGGAUUAUCCAUUGUAGAUUUUUGUGGGGACAGAUUCUACCAAAACAGUCUAGAACUAAAAAAUUGGAAAACCCUACUGUCCAGUCCCUUAUGUGCCUUUUUGGGGCCACUUAAACAUUAAAAUAAAUUCAGGACUUUUGGGACAUGAAAACAUAUGAUAUAACGUAGCUCAUGUCCAAAGAUGAGCUUAUUCCGACUUAAAUCGAAGGAGUUAUGGCCAUUUUAAUUUUAGGGUUUUAACGAUGGAAAUGACUAUAACUUGAGUUUUAUAGCUCUGAUGGCCACAAAAUUUAAAGUGGAAGUUCAAUUUAAUAUUUUUAAGAUUCUGACAAGAUUUGGUAAUUUUUAGAGUUGAGCACGAUAUUGCUAAUUUUGCUAAGUUAUGAACUAAAAUGGGCUUUUGAAAAAUACUUAAUUAAAAGUAAAAAUUCUAGAAAAAAUAUUUUUGUGUAUGGAAUAUAUGUAUAUAUGUGUGGCCAAAAAAGAAAAAAAUAAUUAUAAAAUGGUUAAGCAAUCUUAAUGGGGGAUAUAGGCUUCUAACGAAUUAAAAACUAUUAAUUACCGGGAAGUCGGGAAUUACCGAAAUAAUUUCUAUAGACUGGAAUGUGUUAAGAUGUGACGUAUGAGUCUAUGUUGAUGUUAAUCACAUAUUAUUAUGGAAAUAUUAUAUGUAUGAUGAGAAAGAAUGUUGUGUUUGGAUUAAGUCGAAAGGGUGGUUACCAAGUUAGGUUAGAAUAAUCAUCGUCGGUAAACCUUAAAAGGUGACGAUUACCUUUAAUUAUUAAGCAAAUUCUUAUGAAUGUUGUAGGUAAAAAUUUGUAAAGGAAUAUUCGCAUAAUCAAGGAAGAGAUAUUAAGUCAGAAUUUUUUUUUAGUUUCAUUGUGUUAUGUGAUCUUGAUAUUAUAUGAGAUUUUCACAAGUAUGCUAAAUUAUACUGCUAAAUUAUACUUUAUGCUUGUUGAAUUAUGAAAGUCAACUUAUGACUGAAAUUGAUUGAGUUUUAGAACUCAGUCUUAAUGUGACAUGUGAUAUGCUAAAUAUAUGAAUUAUAUUGUUUAGUAUUAUGAUAAUCAUGAGAUAUGAACUGAGCAUGAAAUUAUGUGAUAUGUGAAGCAUGAAAGCUGUUAAAUUUGUUAGCUGUCGAGCUCAAUCUUGCAAAAAUAAACUUUGUGCAUGUUAACGAUACAAUGUAAUAUUACUUGUUAUGAUACGGAUGAUGAAGAUUGGAAGACAUGUAAAGGAAUACAAUUUCUUGAAAUAUUCAAUGAAUAAGGAAUAUUUGUUAUGAAAUAAGAAUGUAUGGCGGUGAUUACUUUGAAAUGUAAAAUCAUAUAAUGACUACUCUAAUAAAAUGAUUUUAAGGUAUAAAAUCGUAAAGGUUGCGAUUCAUGGAACGAAUGAAAGACGGAAAGAAAAGUUUAAAAUAAUCCGCAUUUUUAUUAGCUUUGUCAUUAAUUAAUGAUGUAAAGCUAGUACAAUAUAGUUUCUAAAGCACAAGGUCGGGGUUAAGUUAGUCCUGAUUUUGGAUUAAGUUGGUCCCAAUUUUUGGGGGGGCGUUACAAUACUAUUACUGAAUGAGUCCAAUACUUGUUGAGAAUAGCUAAGUUGCCUAAGUCAUUCUAGAGUGAAGCUGUAUGUACUGCUUGUUACUUGAUUAAUAGAUCUCCAUCAGCACCAUUGAAUUUUCAGAUUCUAAAGAAGAUUUGGAGUGGUAAUUAUGUGUAAUAUUCUUACUUGAGGGUAUUUUGGUGCAAUGCUUUUGUACAUAUCCCUAAGGAACAAAGAUCGAAGCUUGAUGACAAAUCUACUCCAUGUGUAUUUGUUGGUUAUGGAGAUGUAGAGUUUGGGUACAGGUUAUGGGAUCAAGUUUAAAGAAAAUUAUUCAGAAGCAAAGAUAUGGUGUUUCAUGAGCACCAGAAUUAUAAGGAUUUUGUUAAUGUUACAUAGCUUAGAGAUAAUAGAGUUCCAGACCUCAACAGAGUUCUUUCUCUAUUACAAAAUGUCAUAGUUGGAGAAAAAGGUCAGAAUGAAGAUGUGACUAAUACAGAUUUGCACAAUGGUGAUUGGUCAGAUGUAGAAAGUGUUUAGUAGGGGGAGCAGCCUCUUCAUCUUGAUAUUCAAAAACCUUAGCUAUGGAGAUCCAUGAGAGAACGUGUGUCAUCAGUUAGGUAUUCUUCAUCUAAAUAUCUUUUAGUUGCUGAGGAGGGGGAGCUAGAGAAUUUUCAAGAAGUCAAGACUCAUAAAGGGAAGGGCAAUUGGCUGAAAGUUAUGCGGGAUGAGAUGGGUUCUUUGCAAAAGAAUCACACUUAUAAAUUUACUACACUUCUAAAGGGCAGGAAUAGUUGUUCAAGAUGAAAAAAGAUGGUAAAAACCUAGUGAAGUACAUGGCUCGGUUGGUCGUUAAGGGUUUUGUUCAAAAGUAAGGUAUUUAUUUUAAUGAGAUUUUUUCUCCAAUUAUGAAAAUGACUUUUAUUUGAGCGGUGUAGGGGUUAGUAGCUAGUAUGGAUCUUGAGCUAGAGCAGCUAGAUGUGAAAAUUGCAUUCCUUCAUGGUGAUUUAAAGGAGAAAAUUUACAUGAGCAACCAGAAGGAUUUGAAGUUAAAGGGAAAGAGCACUUGGUUUAGAAGUUGAAGAAAAUUUUGUACGACUUGAAACAAGCCCCAAGGCAGUGGUACAUAAAAUAUUAUGAGUCAUUGAUGAUUAAUAUCAAGGUUACAAUAGAACAAUUGCAGAUCAUUGUGUGUAUGUUACAAUUUCUUAAAUGGUAACUUCGUUAUUAUGUUGCUAUAUGUAGAUGAUAUGUUGAUAGUUGGGCAAGAUGCUUACAUGAUUCACAGGCUCAAGAGUGAGUUGUUCAAGUCCUUUGAUAAGAAGGACUUAGGCCCGACUGACUAAAUAGAUUUUGGGCAUGAAGAUUGUUCGUGAUAGGAAAGUCAAGUGGUUGUGGUUGUCACAAGAGAAAUAUAUGAAUGGGUGUUUGCAAGGUUCAACAUGUGUGAUGCUAAGACAUUUAGCACACUACUGGUCAAUCAUAUGAAGUUGACGAAGCGCACGUGAUUUUGUACUAAGGGAGAGAUGAUAUGGCAGCAGUUCCCUACUCCUCUACUAUACGGAGUCUUAUGUAUAUAUAUGAUGGUUUGUACACGACCAUAUAUUACUCAUGCAGGUGGUGUUGUGAGCAGGUAUUUGUCAAAUCCUGGUAGAGAAUAUUGAAAACAGUUAAGUGGCAUAGAUUCUCAGAUACUUGCAAAGUAAUUCGAGUUUGCGUUUGGGUUUUGGUGGGUCCGAGUCUAGUCUUGGUGGGUAAUUUUACAAAUGCAGACAUGACAGGUUCUAAAGAGAAGAAGUUAAUUUUGGGGAAUGUGUUUACUUUUGCAGGGGGAGUUGUAUCAUAGCAGUCCAAGUUGCAGAAGUGCUUUGCUUUGUCUACAACCGAGUCAGAAUAUAUCGCCACUAUGAAAUCAAAAAAGGAGAUGUUAUGGUUGAAACGGUUUUUCCAACAGUUAGAUUUGACAUAUAACGAGCGAGUAUGUAGUUUUUACAUCUUAGUUUUAGAGAGUUUUUUCACUUAAGAUUCGAUAUCUUGUGUUUAGUUUAUUUUUUGUAGUAUUAUUUUCUGCGAUUGUUAUUUAUUUGUUGAAAUUACAUUUUGUUUGGCGUGUUUUGUUAUUUAAAUUAUCAGAAACGAUUUUAGUGGGAGGAGUUUUCCUAACAAUUAAAAUACCUGGAGAUUUUUUUGAAACAAAAUAUUGAAAAAAAGAAACUCUUUUUAUGAGGGAGUAAAAAUUAUAAAUGAAAUUCAUAUCUUUUUUCUGAUUGUGAGUCAAAUGCAGAUGGAAUUACCGAGUAAAAGCAGUACCGGUAAGCGCCUUCUGCCCAUAUUUUCUCCACUUAUAGCCGUCCUCCGGUGGAGCAUCGCCGACUUCCCUAAUUGGCGCAUGUAAUCUUACCCUCCAUUCCUCCGCCGCCAUCUUCCUUCUUACACAACAAAUUAUUGGAUCAUUAGGGUUUUAUUAAUGUGUGUGUAUAUAUAUAUAUAUAUAUAUGUAGUAGUGAGGGAGGAGGCUGAGGAGCAAAAUUUUAAAAGGAUUGAAAAUUUAAGAUAUAUAUAGGAAAAUAUACAACUAUUUAAUUUAAUGUUUACCGUCCACGUGGAGUAAAAAUUAUAUAUGAAAUUCAUAUCUUUUUUCUGAUUGUGAAUCAAAUGCAGAUGGAAUUAUCGAGUAAAAGCAGUGCCGGUAAGCGCCUUCUGCCCAUAUUUUCUCCACUUAUAGCCGUCCUCCGGUGGAGCAUCGCCGACUUCCAUAAUUGGCGCUUGUAAUCUUACCCUCCAUUCCUCCGCCGCCAUCUUCCUUCUUACACAACAAAUUAUUGGAUCAUUAGGGUUUUAUUAAUGUGUGUGUAUAUAUAUAUAUAUAUAUAUGUAGUAGUGAGGGAGGAGGCUGAGGAGCAAAAUUUUAAAAGGAUUGAAAAUUUAAGAUAUAUAUAGGAAAAUAUACAACUAUUUAAUUUAAUGUUUACCGUCCACGUGGAGUAAAAAUUAUAUAUGAAAUUCAUAUCUUUUUUCUGAUUGUGAAUCAAAUGCAGAUGGAAUUAUCGAGUAAAAGCAGUGCCGGUAAGCGCCUUCUGCCCAUAUUUUCUCCACUUAUAGCCGUCCUCCGGUGGAGCAUCGCCGACUUCCAUAAUUGGCGCUUGUAAUCUUACCCUCCAUUCCUCCGCCGCCAUCUUCCUUCUUACACAACAAAUUAUUGGAUCAUUAGGGUUUUAUUAAUAUAUAUAUAUAUAUAUAUAUAUAUAUAUAUAGUAGUGCGGGAGGAGGCUGAGGAGCAAAAUUUUAAAAGGAUUGAAAAUUUAAGAUAUAUAUAGGAAAAUAUACAACUCUUUAAUGUUUACCGUCCACGUGGAUUUUUAAAGUGAAUGUAGGGUAUAGAUUGUCUAAUAAGAGAUAGUUUUGAGGCGGGAAGACUAACCCUAAAUUUUUGGACAAUCAAAAAUUGGAUCAUUUUGUAUUGUUUUGCAAAUGGCAUAAUGCUGAAGUAUGAGUUUCAACAUCAUUUUUAGAUAAUGAGUUAUAGUUUUAAAAUUUGUUAUCAAAAUCUUAAUUAUAUACUAUAUAUAUACAAAUUUAAAUUUUGCAAGAAAAGUCAAAGAGAAAUAUAUUAUUCGAAUCAAUUUUUUGAUAAGAGGGAGAUUAAUGACUUAAUUAUCCAUAAUUAAUUGUCGUUCCAAAAAAAUUAGUAUUUUUUGUAUUUUGGAGAUUAUGAAACUCGAUAAUGUAAACUUAAACAUAGUUAAAUGAAGAAAAGGAAAAACACAAUCAAAUGACAUCAUUUCAAAUUCACAUAUAUAGAAUAAUAAUAUUUCAAAACUAAAUUGCCCUUCAAUCUAUCUAAAGUUGACCAUAAUUUAAUAAUAGUUAUUAAAAGCAUUUAUUAUAAAGUUUAAAUUAUAUAUUCCUUAAAAAGGAAAGAUAUUUUGUAAAUAUUUUCUUCUAUUAUUGUGUCCGUUUUUUAGUUAUGUUAUCACAUUUAGUCAAUACAAUUAUACAUAUUUUAAAUUAUUUAAAAAGUAUUAACUACUAUUAAUAAAAUUAUUUAUUAUAUUUGAAUUUAAGUAAAUCAUAUCAAUUUUGAAUUUAAGAAUAUUUUAAAAUGACUUUUUAAAAUCAAAUUAAUCUUAUAUUUGGACGGAAAAAAAAUAGUAUUUCUCCUUAUAUAGGAGUAUUUUGGUACUCCUUAUAUAGGAGUAUUUUUGGGAUCCCGAAACGGCAUAUGAUGUGCUCCUUGAUAAAAUUUGUCACUGCUGGUCCCGUAGCCUUCUUCAAGGGUAUUACUUCCACCCAUUUUGUGUACAUCUCGGUGACAGUUAAAAUCCAGAUGUUAUCCUUGGAAUUAAGGUGAACAGGACCUAUAAGAUCCAUUCCCCAUGUAUGAAAGGGCCAUGGUGUUGCUAAGGUUCGCAAAUCCACGGCGGGAGCAUGAAUUAAGUUUCCAUGUAUUUGACAUAUGUGGCAUUUUUUAACGAAUUCUAAACAAUAUCCUUCCAUCUUUGGCCAGUAGUAACCAUGAUCAAUAAGCUAUUUGUAUACCUUGGCUCCCCCUUGGUACUCGUCCUUGUGCAUAUGGUAAACCAAAUCUUUGGCUUCGCCAAGUUCCAGACACCGUAAGGGCUUGCCAUUGAACCCUCUUCUGAACAAUUCUUCAUUUUGUAAUUAAGAAUCGUUGUGACUUCCUCUUUAUUAUAAUUGCGUCCUUCUUUUCGGUCGAAAGAUUCCCGCUUUGUAAGAACUCCAAAUAAGGGAUUCGCCAAUCCACUAUGUCAUCAAUGAAGGCGCAUUCCUCCUCCCCAAGGUAUUCUUGGCAUGAAACACAUUUGCGUUGUAGGGCAUCUGCUUCCUUCUUCAUUUCAGGCAAUUAAUACCCUUGUCGUUGCAGCCUAUGCUACAGGCCUAUGUCUGCCAAUCCGCAGUUCUCAUCAUGCACCUGAUGCAAGACUCUAUUUGCUUCCCGCCUCCCCAAGCAUCGUGUCAAUAUACCGUCUACUUCUUUGUGAUACAAGACACCUUUGAUGAUGUUGUACUUCUGUAGCUCCAUGAUUGGUAUUGUUCCCUCCUUUGUUUGCAAUUGAUGGGAGAUGUCAUGUCUCCAAUCAUCUAUUAUGUCUUUGGGGAACAAGUCAAGCACCGUGGUUGGGAGGGUUCUCUUCAUUACCUUCACAUCCAAGUCCUCUCCUUGGACAUAGACUCGAGACGCUACUGUUGUUAGUACAUCAGGUUGUUUAUUUUGUCCUCUUGGCACAUAUUCAAUCACCACCUUCUUGAAAGCCUCCAUCUCCUUUUGUGCUACAGUUCGAUAUGGAGCCAAGAUAGGUUCCUUCACUCUGAAUUGGCCUCUUAUCUGCCGGACUAUGAAGUUUGAAUCUCCCUUUACUUUAAGAUGUUUGGCUCCCAAUUCUUGAGCCGCCAACAAUCCUAGUAUGAACGCCUCAUAUUUUACUUUAUUGUUUGUGCAAGGGAAAUUCAAUAUGUAUGACAAGGCCACUUCAUUUCCUUCUUUGGUGGUCAACACCACUCCUGCUCCGCCUUUACCUUUUCCAGAUGAUCCAUCAAAAGCCAAACUCCACCAUUCUAGGUCAUCAUCCAUUAACUCGAUUGAUUCUACUACUCCACCCUGAAGAUCUUCAGAAGGGGGUUUAUAUUCUCCAUUUGGAAAUUGAACCAGCAGGUCUGCCAAGGCUUGAUAUCGGAUCGCCUUCGGUGUUACACACUUGAUGUCGUACUCUGAAAGAAUCAUCAUCCAUCUGGCAGGUCUUCCUGCAAAUGCUGGCUUAGUUAAUAAUAAUCUGAUGGGAUCAGUUCUUGUUCCAAGCUUUACUUUGUGCGCUAAAAAAUAAUUAAUGCUGCAUUUUUUGCGCAAUGAACACCAAUGCUAGGCAAUGCCUCUCCACCUGUGAAUACCUGAUUUUCGGUCCUCUGAUUAUCCGGCUAAUAUAAUACAUAGGUUUCUCUUCUCCAUCCACCUCCUGCAUGAUCAAUGUUCCACAUGUGGAAUUCUUGGUAGAUGUGAUGUAUAACUGCAACGUCGUUCAUUUUUGUGGUACUACCAUAGUUUGCGUUGAAGCCAAAAUUCUUUUCACCUUUUCAAAGGCCUGUUGUUGGUCUUGCCCCCAGUCCCAUUGUGCCUUUCCUUUUAGCAAUUUGCCGAAAGGUUCUGUGACUUCGGCUAAUGCUGGCAUGAAUCUUCUCAUGUAUGAAACUUUCCCUAGAAAGCUCUUCAACUGUUUCUGCAUUUUUUGUGGGGGGGGGUGGAUCUCUGUGAUUGCUUUCGCCUUGCUUGGGUCCACCUCUAAACCUCUGUUGUGCACCAAGAAACCCAAGAAUUUUCCAGCCGUCAUCCCAAAGGCACACUUCUUUGGAUUCAUCCUCAACUUGUACCUUCGGCAUCACUCAAACACUUUCCUCAGGUCUUCUACAUGAGUUGUUGCCUUCUUGGAUUUCACUACUAUGUCAUCCACGUAGUCCUCCACUAUAUCAUGAAUCAUGUGAUGAAAUAUGGCGUGCAUUGCCCUUUGAUAAGGUUGCCACCGCAUUCUUCAACCCGAAUGGCAUUACUACAUAGUAGAAAUUCCCAAAUGGGGUACGAAAGGUUGUCAACUCUGCAUCUUCUACGGACAUAUUUAUCUGAUUGUAACCCACAAACCCGUCCAUGAAUGACAUCAUCUCAUGAUUAGCCGUUGCAUCUACCAAAGUGUCUAUGUUAGGUAAUGGGUACAUAUCCUUCGGGCAUGCCUUGUUCAAGUCUCUGAAAUCCACACAUAUUCGUAGUUGUCCAUUUGAUUUCUUUACCGGUACAAUGCUGGAUAGCCAUGUUGGAUGUUGAAUUAGCUUGAUGAACCCUACUUCCAGUAACUUCUUGAUCUCUUCCAUUAUUUGAGUUUCGACUUCAGGUGCAUAGUUGCGAGGUGCUUGCUUCACUGGCUUCAUUCCCGGGCUUAUGUUUAGAUUGUGAUCCACAAGAUCCUUGUCAAUUCUGGGCAUCUCGUCAUAAUUCUAAGCAAAGACAUCUCUAUACUCUCGCAAUAAUUAUACAAGCUCCUCCUUCUGGUUAGCAUCCAGUUCCUUGUUGACAUAAGUCGGUCUUGGCAUUCCUCCCUUUGUUGCCAAAUCAACUUCCUCUAAUUCAUUUUGUUGAGGUUUUGGCCUAUCCUCGAAGCAUUCUGGAGCUGGUUCUACCUUCUGCUGUACAACUUCUCCUCAUUCAUUAUUGCUGGAGUGGGGGACACCUCCAGAGCCAUUGGGUUCGUACGCUUCCUUGGGCUCUUCCCCCUUGCACCGUCAUAAUUGAAACACCACCUUUCCGUCAGGUUUAACAACCCUAUCCCAUUUUGUCUUCUGGCCAUCCUCAGAUUGUGCCAUCCGCUUAACAUUUAUUAUAUUUCUGGCAUCUUCAGGGUCUGCUGGCCUUUUUUUUUCUUCUCUUCCUUCUUUCUCCAGGUCUACUACCACUAGCUUCUUAUUUUUGGAACAUUCUCCGUGUUCCGAGGUCUUCUUAUUCUCUUUUUCUGCAGGCACGAACCUAUCUUCCUGCACUUCCUCCCAGCUUGCUAGUCUCAGAGAAUCGGGACUUGCAAUUUGGUUCUCUCCCUCUUCAGCGACAUCAUCAAAGAAAGUUGCUUCGGUGAUGUGUGCCUCCUCUGGUCCAAAGGGAUUUUGAGUUGCUGGUACCUUCACUUCUCUCCCUUUUUAGAUAGCUUUCAGGCACUGAUGAAAGACCGAGGGUUCCAUCCCGUAGUCAUUUUGCCAAGCCCUUCCUAGCAAGAUAUGAUAUGUUGCAUCCACCUCUACAACAUGGAACAUUACAGGCCCUCGAAUCUUCCCAACUUGCAUGUCCACCUUGAUAUGUCCUAGGGUUCUUGUGCUUUGGUUGGCGAAUCCUAUAAUGUUUGCUUGUUCCUUCAUAAUCUUCUUCUCAGGUAGGCCUAACCGUUUGAACACAGUGUAGGGCAUAAUAUUUACAAAUGCUCCAUUGUCAAUGAACGCCCUCCACACUUCUAUGCCAUUAAUUACUGCUGUCACAUACAAUGGCCUGUUGUGCGGGUAUCUUAUCUCUCUAUCAGCUGUAAAGAAAGAUAUCUUAUUUUUUUCUUCCUCCAUCGUCUUCACAAAUCCUUUGCUUAUGGCCAUGCAAGUCUCCUGUGUCUCGGCAGCCUUAAUGAUUUCUCUGGUUGCCUCAAUCCUUGCUUCCUUGGCCAAUCCUAUCUGAUCGAAUUUUUUUUAAACUUGGCCCCAUUCAUCAACACCGUCACCUGCAGGCCUGGAUCACACUCUUCUCUUUCUUCCAUCAUCAUCUCCACUUCUGGGAUUGUACUGUGGAUAACAGUGUUGCAUGUUUCUUUCCCCUUGUGGUUUGGCAGUGGCUUGUCAUGGACACUUCUUUCCUUUUCCAGUUCAAUUUCCCCAUUUGCCAAAUUUUCAUGGUAUAUCCUCCUUAGGCUGUAACAGUCCAUAGUGGAAUGUCCAGCGUAUUGGUGGCAUACACAGAAGUCAGGUUUUCUCUUCAUCUCUUUCGUCACUACAAAUCUAGGCCUUGGGGGUUUCACCACCCCAUGUUCAACCCAUUGUUCAUAUAGACCCCUGAAUGCUUUCUCAUUGCAUGUGAUAGCCUCCGGGAUUGACUUUCUUGCAUAUUUGUCUCCAGGCCUUCCCCUGCUUCGGUCAAAAUUCUUCUCAUGCUUCUCCCUCUUGCCCCCUUUUGGUUUUGACUGAGAGUCAGCCAAAGCCACAGUUGUUGUCCUCUUGCCCUUUCAUGUAAUCGUCGCAUGGCUAGUGGGUAAUGUCAUGAUUUCUCCCAAGUCUUGUGCAAAAGAUGAGAGGGUCACGAAGGAAUCACAAGCCUUGGUGAUGAGGUGGGGAUUGAAGGCAUCUAAGGCACCAUUGUUGCAAAUGCUGACUAAGUUCUUUUCUUCAAUCGGCUUUGCGCACUUCUGUGCCCGGGCCCUGAACCUGUCAACAUAAUCUGAUAGCUCCUCAUUCGGCUUUUGCUUGAACCUCAUGAGCUCUACAAUAGUCACUUAUUUUUGCACAUAAAAAAAUUUCUUAAAAAAUUGUACUUUUGGGUCAUCCCAAUCAUGGACUGAUCCCUUCUCCAAAUUGUAGUACCAACUGAAGGCACUAUCCGUCAAAGUCUUGUUGAAUUCCUGCAUCAACAAGUUGUGGUUGUUCACUUCAUCAUAUCCGAGCCACGGAGACAUUGACUCUACGAACCUGACAAUAUGUUCUCUGGCAUUUCCUUUCUCCCCGUUGUAUUUUGGAAACUGCGGAGGAUGCUCAAUAUACCCUGUCGGGUAAGGUUGCCUCCGAAUGUGUGUCGGGUAAGGAGUAGUAUAGUCUAACUCCGAGGGUCGAGAUGUCUGCCUGCGAAGUUGAUUGAUCACAUCGAUCAUAUCAUCUUUCGUCACGUACUGGCUCGUGGCGUGAAUUAACUCUUUGGGGUUUUGUGAUAUACUGUUGUAACAGCGAUGUGUAUGGUAAAGAGAUUGGUUGAUGCAUACUUGCAUCAUUCAAAGCAGGCGCUAGUGGUAGCUGCUGGCUCACUCGCUGGACAUGGCCUGGAAUGGUCGGCAUCUGCACGUGUGAAAAUGUUGGGAGAGCAGUUGGGAUGAUGUUUGUCUGAGGUUGGCUUGCUUCCAACCUAGGUUGUGUUACAUCACCACUGCUCUGAGGCUCCAAGUUGAUGAUUAGAACCGACUGACUUUCCGUCGAUGGAGGUACAAUUUGGUUCUCUUUAUUGUUGUUGCCAUUGUUAUUGUCCUCUACCCCUGCUUCUUCUCCCUACGAAUUGCCUGAGAACAUGGCCUUGAAGGUAAGAAUCUGCAUCAAUUGCUGGCGAAAGUUCCCCAUCUCCUCUUGCUUCCUCUGCAUCUCCAGCAUCAUGGCCAUCAUCAUCCCUGUUCUUCCCGUGCUUCCUUUAAUGCCUUGAGCAUCUCCAAUUGCACAACACUGAUCAACUCUCCACUUGCAUCCUCGCCUUGCCUUCCUGCAUUUAUUUGUUGUUGAUUGGCCAUAUGUGGUGAUAUUGAACUCCUUUCUGAAGCGUCUUCAAUAAGGGGUUGGUUAAAAUUCAAGUUUGCACCUUGGAAAGCUUGAGUGGCUUGCCUUGGAACUGGAUCCGGUGAGGUAAUGCUAUUUGUUGGUGAAACAACUCUUCCUGUAGUUCUCCCACUUCGAGUUGUGGGCAUACCCUUCACGAAUUCUACACCUCCCCAGCAGAGUCGCCAAAGAAAUGUGUGCAAAGAAAUCGUGCCUUGCUAGUUAGGGUUUCGUGUUGGCUGAGGAGGAGAGAAAUCCACGAAGAGUACGGAAUUGGUUGAUUGAUUGAAGAGGGGAGAAUGACAAGUGGGUGAUUACUCCAAUGACGCGUGACAGAACUCCUAGAAUCCGAGAACCGUAUUAGGGUUAUUGGGAUUCCAAGAGCCUUCUUGAGUGUCCUUCAAGUUGAGAGAAAGUGUCUAAACCCUUUUAGUACUUUUAGGUGGAAUAUCCAAGCCUUAAGUCACCAAAAGAGUUCAAGUCUUGUGUUUGAAGAGAGGUCCCUUUCUCAAUGGAAUGGAAGGGGUACUUAUAGGAUUUUCUGGAAAGUAGUCAUGUGCAAGGCACAUGAUUUAAGGGAAGUGGAGGUUUCUCCUGGGUCUAACGCAUUUUAUUUCUGACUUUUUUCGUCUUCAUUCCAUUAGGUUAUGCGAAUUCUAAUUUGCACAUUUAAUGAGGUUUUGAAACCCUAAUUGCUCAUUUAAUUUAAUUAGGUUAUGUGAACUCUAAUUUUACACUUGGGCCCACAAAAAUUUGUUAAGCAAAUUUGUUCGCUUUUGUAUUUUAUUUCAAAUUUUUAGAUAAGGCAGAAGGAUCAAAAGGGUCCAAAAGAUACAGAUAAAAGAAAAAGAAACAGAUGUUAGGAAGAAUGAAUAAUAUGUUGAUGUAAUAGAUUAUGAUGUUGUAUUAAUUUUUUGUAAUAAUAUAAGAUAAAUUGUGAUAUUAUCAAGUAUUAAAUUGCGUAAAGAGCCGAGAUGUGGAAAUAUGUAAUUUCAUUUACGUGAAAUCUGUUGCAAGUAAUCCUAAUUUAUAUUAUAGGCAAAUGUUGUAUAUGUGAGGUUAAAACCUGUAGAAGAAUGAAUGGAUGUUUCUAUUAUUAUUUUUUAUGAGACACAUGUGGAAUAAAUGAAGAAUGUAUACAAUAUUAAGCAGGUGAUAUAUGUAUAUGAAUAGUGAUGCACCAAAUCAACUGUAGAAAGUAUAGGGGUUUAGGAACAGAACCGGAUAAGGCAAUUCUACUCGAUCAAUUACGCCAAAUAUAUUCAUCAGUAUAUUAAUUAAAAUUAAAUAAAAUUAUUUUAAAUUUGAGUAAAAAAAUGUCUCAAUUUAAUUUAAAAAUUAAAUAAUGAUAUUAUAUUUUAAAAGUGAAUGAUAUAAUAUUUAAAAUUUUGAGUCAUUUUGGUUGUGGAAGGGAGGAAGGUAAUGUAAGUAAUCUAACUUAAGAGUAUCAUUAAGAUAUCUAAGCUGAAGUAUGCAUUCUUUUAGUUAUAUAUAUUAAAAAGAAAGUCACUAUAGGAGCAACUUUUGUUGCAGGAAACAAUACAUUAAGUAACAAUGUUCUUUUCUGUCAGUGGAGAAGUUAGGAUUUUAAUUUAUUAGGGUCAAAAUUUUGUGAUGUUAUAAAUGAUUUAAUUUUAUAUUUUUUUAUCAGUUUUAUAUAUAAAAUAUGUAUUUUGUUAUAAUUAAUAUUUUUAAUAUAAUAAAUAAUAACAUUAUAUAUAUAUACACCCCUUAUUGACCCUUAAUACGUCUUUCUAAUAAUAAAUUUAUUAAUAAAUAUUUAAAUUUCUUAUGUUAUAAAAAUAAUAUAAAUUAAAUUAAUAUUUAUUUUAAAAAUAUUAGAGGAAGAAGCAUACAUCAAGGAGUAGAAAUAGUAUAGAAUUGAGAAAGUUAUAAAAAAUUCUAUUUGACCCCGUAUAUUAAAAAAUUUAUAAAAUUUCAAUGAGGUCAAUUUAUUCAUUAUAAUUAAAUAUCUUCUAAAUUUAUCAUAUAUUAUAAAAUAAAUUUUUUUUCCAAUGAAAUCAAUUGACCCCACCCCUUGACUGUGGCUUCGCCCCUGUUUUCAGUCAUGUUUCAUAGAUUGCGAAAAAUAUAUUUUCCUUUUUUUUAGUGACCACUGAUUUGCGACAAUACUUGAAAACAAAAUUGUGAUGAGAUCCUUUUUUUUUGUUAUAUUUUUUGUCUGAAAUCCCUUUGAAGUGUCCCUUUUAAAUGUUUUCUGGUACGAUCGGAAUGGUUAUGCAUGCAUGGUUGAUAUUUUUAUAUGAUUUUUUGAUAUUUUUAUAUGAAAAGUGUAGCUAUAGAGAUGUAUAGCGACGGCAAAAACCGCUGUUAAAGAAUUUAUAGCGACGAUUUUCAUGUGAAAAUAUUAAUUUUCUAUUUAGAAUUUCACCUUUACAAUAGAUAAAGGGAACUGAUAUUUUCAUAUAAAAAAUUGAUAUUUUCACAUAAUUCCUCUCACAUGAAUAGUGAGUGAGUCCCACAUCCAUAUUGUGAGAGAGACUCGUUUAAAAAUAUCAUUUUAACAUGUAAAAAUAUCAAUUUCCUAGAUAAACUAUGCCGUCAAACUACAUAAAAUUAAAUUCUUAUCAAAAAUAAAAACAAAAGAAAAUACUUGGAUUUUUUUUUGCAGAUCAAAGUAGUUUUUUACUAUAAUUAUUCAUACACAACAAGGCCAGAGUGCCAUAAACUUUUGCUACAUGGACAUUAUUCAAGAUACUAAAGGUUAGCCUCAUAGUAAUAAUUAGCCAACCCUAGCACUCAUAACUAUUUUACAUAGAUAAUACUCCCAAAAGCAUUAAUUAAACAAGACAGUAGUCCAUUUUGUAGCCGUACCAUUUGUGCUAUAUUAUAGAAUUGGUCCUCGGAUCCGCAAUUUUCAUUUUAGAAGGUAGUGUUACGAAUUUGAGGCGGUAGUCAUCAGUAGCGUCAUCGGUAGGGCAAUCUACGAACCUUGUUGCUUGUUGGUUCAUGCAUACAUUAAUAUCCGUAAGCACAUAUUCUGAGUUUUCGUUUUUGGUGAAAUCGAUUUCUGGCACAGCAUUCAAGUGCUUUUUGAUUGCUUCUUUUAUCAUUUUAGGACGAUAAAGGUCGUUAUUCGGGUGAAUCCCUACACAUUUUUGAAUAGUAAUCUCAUCAAACUCACAUUAUCAUUUUACUUAGGAAGCAAUGAACCAAAUUAAAGACUAUUUAAUUAUAUAUGAAUGGGUAUGUUUACCUUCCUGGUUUAGUAGCCCAAUUAUAUCAAAUGCUUUUCUAAAAGCAAGCGCCGUUCUAAAAUAAUCAGUCUGCUUCAACAAUGCUUCUGAACACCUUCCAUGUUUCUUCCACUCGUAUUCCCAGAAUUGUACGUCCUCGGUGUUAGUUUCAUGACUCGGCCAUGCAAGAUGCAUUUCUGCUCGAAAGUCCGAUACCUUUAAUUUUCAAAAUGAAGGAGGAGAGAUAUUAGUUUAACAUAUGUGAGUAUGUAUGGAUAUAUUGCAUGUACACUUUCAAUUUUUUAUCAAACAAACUUAUGACUUAUCCAACUCUUCAAGAUAUAUAUAAAUGUUACCACAAAAAAAAAACAUAUUUAAUAGACAAUAGAGCAAGAAUUUUAAGUAGUAAAUUAAAUGCAGACCGAGAGAACUCACAGAGUUAACAUCAAAGGCAGUUCCGUCACAAUAUAACCCUGGGGUCCCCUUCUCGUUAUAGGGAUAAAGGCCGUGAAUGGUAAAUGUGUUGAGGAGAGACUUUGUAUCACAGGCAUUGUUGACCUCGCAAAAUCCAGCUGGCCAUUGAAGCCUUAGGGCAAACAUUGCCAAUGGAUAAUCUGAUCGAGCAUUCCCACCCCAAGAGAAAAUGCUCAAGCUCACUAUAAUGAUGCUGAUAAUAUAUAUUGCCCUCAUGAUCUCUUCAAACUUCAACAACUUUUUUCUUAAGAAAUGAAGUGUGUGUUUUCUGUGAUCUCUAGACUUCCAUGCAUACCCUUUUAUAGUCACCAGUUCUUUUUUAAUUAUAAUAAGAAAAAACUUAUAAAAUAUUUUUAUUUAUAUUUUUGAGUGUUAAUUUAUCCGUAA
rnacentral:lncRNA from 1 species